AUUUCCGUUGUAACAAUCAUUAAAAACAAUGAAAACAAAAUUUGUCAAGAAUUAUAGAAUCCAUUCAUCUAAUCAAAAGAAAUUGACCGAGCGACAUAGCAAACACUAAAUAUAAUUAUAGAACUGAACUAAGCUAACGUGAUUAAAUUACACUAAUAAAAUUAUAAAUAGAUUUCAUUAUGAACCAAAUGACUUAAUAAAGAUUUUUAUAAUGCUUUAAAUAAGAUUAUAUAACACUUUAAUUCAAACAACUCUUAAAGAGAGAUUUUGAUAUAUAAUUGUAAAUGAAUUAUAAAAGAAGGAUUUUUAUUAAUCCAAAACCUCCCUAUUUAUAAUAGAGUAGAAUUACUUUCAUAAGUGAAUUUAAAGGAAAACUAAAUGACAAUUAUAUUAGAAAUAAAAGAUUAAAACACAUACAAUAAUUGAUUGGAAUUAAAAAAAUAUAUACAUUAAUGGGCCUAAAUUAACAAAAUCCUAAAAUAACGUCUUACAUCCUAAUUGUAUUGGACAAGUUGCUUAGCACAAAGCAAAGGAUCGUACAAUGGUAGUUCCGCCAAGAACUUCAUGUAUUCUGAACACAACAUGCAGGACAGUAAUAUGAUAUAUAUAGUGCUUUAGAUGGCUUUUCUACUUUAAUUACAAGCAUGCAGAAAGCUCAAAACAGCAACUGAAGCACUCAAAUAAAGCAAGGGCAGUACAAUUGAGCAUUGGUUAUCCAUAGAAGAACAAGUCCGGAUAAAGCACUUGUAACGGACGUAAUAAGCAGCCUUUAAUUACAUUUCUGUGGCAUCCCAUGACUUUGUUUCCUCGAGUUAUAUUCUCAGCUGCACUUUUGGCCUCUUUAACAGGUCAACUUUGUUCAAUCCCUGGUCUGAUGAAUUUUGAAGGAACAGGUUAACGAGAGGAACAUACGAUGUUAUCGUCAAUUAAAAGUGCUCACAACUACUUAAGAGCAACGACGAGUAUGUUCUUUAAAUACCAAAUUUACUCCCAAGAUUUUGCACAUGCUCCUUACUCCUACAGUGUCGACGUGAUGCUGAAAGCUCCGAAUUCAAUCACAUAUUGGGCUCCGCAAUGGAAUACCCGCAAUCACUUUUAAACAGUUUUAUUGUCACUCGUGGUGAUAAGAGCUUACCACUGGUAUUAACUUCUUUCAAUGCCGAUUGAACUGUCAAGGUAGAGAGGCCCACGUCUCUGUUCAUACAUUGUGGAUUUCCAUCCAACAAUCUUAUUUCUAGCGAUCCACAUAUGGGCCCAAAGGGCCUGUUAAAUUCAAUCAGAGUUGUAAGCUUUCGUAUGUUAGCAAGUCCUCAUUUGACAGGUCUUGCUUACGAAGCAAUAGAAUAUAUUCCACUUAAAAACAAUGCCGGAGUGAUACUGUGGUUCUAAACACAUCUCAUUAAAAUCUGAUUACACCCCUUUUAAUGAAAAUAAAUCUGGUUGGGAAUAUUAGGCGUGCACCUUUCUUUUUCUUUUUUUUUGGUUUCAAACCUCAAAUCUUGGAUUUUCCACCUCAGAUAUGUCACUAAUUGAACUAACACCCACAAUAGUGCAUGAAGCUUCACUUAACAAGGUUUUGUGGUUGAGAGAUGCUCUAUGCAAUGAUGGAUUGUUCUUCUUUCAGGAAAGGGUGUGAUGAGGAUAUUUUGGUAGUCAAAUUAUUGAUAGAGGUUAUAUUAAAUUAAGAAGAGAGUAAGUUUUAACACUAAUGGGGAAUAUAAUGACCCUUUCUACUUAAGAAAGACAUUAAGAUAGAAUAGAAAGGAGCGGAAGCUCUGCAGAGAAAGCAAAGAGCGAUGCAUAAAUAAAACCAGAAUGAAAUAGAUAGCUGGGAAAACUAUUAGCAUCCUUAUUGAGGAGGUUUCUAAUCUCUACUGGUAGACAGGACCAACUAGUGAAGUCUUGACAUCCACACUGUUGUUUUCUCAAUAAGUGUGAGAGAAACAAAAAUUCACAGCAUAUACAAGAUGACGACAAUUGUACCUAACGAUUAUCCAACAUCUAGAAGGGAUCCAAAUGGGGAUUAGAAAGGAGCAAAAUCACCAGCGUAGAAUCACAUUAAGUCAUAAAUUCUUCCAACCAUUAACGAAGGCAUGCUCCAUUACCAAAACCGCAACCAUGACCUAUAUGCAUACAGAGCUGUUUGGAUACCGAGGGACAUACCAGAUAAGGCCAACAUAAGAGCCACGAUAACAAUGGAAAACAACGCCACAAGUUGCAUGAUCGGGGUUAACUUUAGAUAAAGCAUCAUAAAGGGGCACGAUAAUUACUGGUUUUGAAAUGAAGGAAUUGAAUUUGUUCACUGGAAAUAAUAAGGAUUUAUAUAGUACCAGUAAGAAGAUACGGAACCCCUUAUGCCAACGAAAAACAGACCAAAGUACUUGUGCGGUAGUUAAUUUGUUACUUUUAACCAGAUAUCAUAAAGCCUACAAUGUGUCUUUAGGCUAUAAUAUCCUAUCUAUCAAUUCCUCUGCUAUAUUAUUAAAUCAUUAGUUGAAAAAUCUUGUGGAACAAGCCAUCGGUUACUGGAAGGGGAAUGUACCUUUUAAUUUAGCUAUUACGUCACAUUAUCGAAGGUUUAGUAAUUUAUUUAUAUUGCCAUUAUGUUAAUUAUACUUUAGAUUGUUAAUUAUAAUAAAAUAAAGCUCAUUAUGUAAAGUUAAUUACGGAUUACAUACCAACAUGUAAGUUAAUGCUUGUAAUGAACGUGCAAAUGCUUAACCUUCAAUACAAUGUGAUUAAGUUUGGAAUAAAAAGAUAAUUACAUGAUUCAAUUCCUUUCAUUAUUGUAUAUUAUCGUUAAAUCUUCCAAGUGCAUUAAUGUUAUCGUUCCCAAAGACUAAAAAGUAAUUGACUUUAAUUUUUCCAUGGAUAUACAGAUACUGUGCUUAUAAUGAAAUGAAGAUGAUUAACAGGCUCAUAUUACUUUGUGGAAAUGUCAGCAUCUUCUUAUGGAAGUAUUGAGCCACACGUUCAUUUUAGUUAUCAUAUAUAUAAAAACCAAAUAGAUGAUGGGUCCCCAAAAAUGUGUAAGGGAAAUCCAUGGAAAACAUUACUUUAGAAAUAAUUAUAAGAGGAUAUGUGGACACCCUCAUCGAAAUGUAAUGAUUUCAUUAUGCUUUCGUUUAACUUUUGUGAUUAGUUUCAUUUUCAUCUUUUAUAGAAGUGUAAUGAGCUAGGCUACCGUAUACAAGGGAAGAUAAUUGGGAGACCAAUUCAAGUUUCGAUGAAUUUACACAAAGUUACAGUUUCCUUUCUAUCAUUCUUAAUAAUGACUAGAAAUCUUCACCAAGAAUCCAUUAUUAUGCAAUGAUAAUAUUAAUAUGAUUAUCAUUCAAUUUUAAUGGCACAAUUUUUACUUUCAUACGUAUAAUAUAUAAAUUUAUGACAAACCAGGCCAAUUAAGUAAUUUGAUUUUAGAAGUGAAUUCCAAUCUGAAUUACCCAUUUAAUACCAAUAAAGAUGAUGUGCCUAGCGCUAAUGUCAUUCAUGAUACAUACAAGCUAUAAGUCUAAUCGAAGGUUCAAUAAGAAAGUUACUUAAUUGGCUUGGGAAAAGAAAACAAAAAGACAAAAAGUCGGAGGAGAAAAGGGAACGGCAAGAAGUAAAAGAACGGUACCUUUUUGACAAACUAGCACGAACAGAAUUUCUCAUCAAGGCCAUCUUUGUAUGGAGAACAAAAAGAAGGAAUGUCUGUGCAAGGCAAGCAAGAGACCUAUCAAGUCAAUUCAUGAGUGCAAUCAUCAAUGUAAGUUGGACCCCGGCCCCCACUUAAAUCUUAUUCAUGAACACGGUUACACGGGGCAUUCCAAAAACCAAAGUUACCAAAGCAUUACGAAACACCAUCAGCUAUUAUUCUAGCCGCUGGCUAAGAUCCCUCAGUUCACCGGUGGCUAUCAAUGUUGGCCCAUCUUUCUCUCGCAUUCAUGCUUACUGAGAUUUACUGUACGUCAAAUCAUGUAUUCUAUUGUAAUCCUCUACUUUCCAACGUAUAGAUUAUUGUAGAUGGCAAAUCAAUGAACAAAUGACACGCACGCUCUUAAUCAUGCGCCCCGUGAUCUGCAGAGUGGAAACUUCUAUUGUAGAGCGAAGAUACUUAUAUGUGCCAAUUGCUUCACUAUUUUUUUUUCUAUUUUUCCUGAAGUUGGUUCUAGAUUAUUAGAUUUUUGAACUCCUAGUCAUGAUUGAAAAGCUGUGCCGUUCGUUGCUUUGUAUUUUUCCUUUUAUUAAUUACUUUUUCUUUUUGAUAGGUGGCUGUCAGUUGUUCAUCCAUACUCCAAAUGUAAAGAAGUCAUUGAGCCACUCUCUCCAACCAUAAAUUAUUGUUUUCUCGAUGAUGAUAUUAACAUCAAACCCUAGUUAUAUAUCCAAAUAUUUUAAGAAAGAAUUAAUUGUUGGAUUUUAAUACUACCAAUAUCUACAUUUUCAAAUAUUGCUCCCAUUUUUUUAAAUAUGCAUUCGUUGUACACACCAUAUGGUAUAUUAGUUAAUUAGCCAUAUGAUGUAUGAAAAAAUAAUAGAAGCACCAAUACACCAUAUGGUGUAUAAACAAAUUAUAAUAUUAAAAUAUGUGAGUAUCCGCACUAGAAAAUCACCAUAUAUAUGUAUGUAUAUAUGAAUUAAUUAGCCAUAAGAAUUCCACUCAAAUUCACAUUAUGAUCAAUCAUCAUCUCAUAGAGUAAAAUAAUUAACAAUAUAUUUAGAUAAUUAAUUAAGAUACAAACAAAUUUCCAUCAAAUAAGUCUAAAACAUAUAGUAAUUUUCAAUUAUAGCUAGUCUUAUUAGUGAAGCUGUCAUUAGGGAGUCUAGAAAGUGACAUAUAUAUAUAUAUAUUUUAUUGUCAAUGCAACGCAAGGAUUAAUACCUAUAAGGAAGCAAUGAUAGUUUUGCCCCAAGAAAGAAGCUUGUGUUUCACACCUUGGUAUAAAGAGAAAGUAACUCUUAGCAUGCAAUAAUAGUAAAGAGAAAGAAGAGUGAAGGUGAAGCUGAAGAGUUGGGUUAACACACACGCGGGCACAUAUAAUUUAAAUAUAUUGAUUUUCAGUAGAUUAAACGGUGAUAUCUCGGCUCCAACCACCAGAAAUUAUAUUAAGUUAAAAUGCCCUAACAAACAUAAAAUUCUUAUGGGUAAGGUGUUAUUAUUCAUAAAACUCGGUCACAAAGGGAGAGAGAGAGAGAGAGAGUUUGGAGAAGGGUCGAUGUCAAAAGAGUUAAGAUCCUUUGGGGGACCCCAGGAUCUCCUUCUGCUGGUUACGCAAGCUCUGUUUAUCUCCAUUUUCUUUUUUUUAUGUUAAUAUUUAUUUGUAUUUUUGUGUGUAGAAGUUAUUAUUAACACCAUUGUUCACAUAUGUUAUUUUUUUAUUUGGUUUUGUAUUUGAUGAUUUGGGUGGCCGCCCCGGCUUUUAGAGUGAAGAUGUUCAAUGGUGGUGGGACCACGGAUGGGGCGGUCUAAUUAAUAAGUUCAAUGAUGCGUUCCGCCGCUUGAUUGGUGACUAACGGCCGACCACCACCGUCCUACGUGGACUGCGCGUCCACAUCUCUAGCACUUAUUCAGCUCUCUUCUUUUUCACUUUUCAAUUCCUUGUAGCUCCUUCCUCCUUUGUUAACGGAGACUUCAUUUCUGUCCAUCCUCAAUUUCUGUACAGUGCUUGCUUCAUAAUAUUUUUCUACAGUAGCUUCUGCAUAUUUUUUUUUAAGCGAUAGUUCAACAUUUCUCAACUAGUAUCUGAUUGAUUUUAUCCUAAAUAUUAAUGUGACAGUCAUUUUCUAAACGAUUAAUUUAAUAACUAAUAAAAAUUACUUGUUGCUUCAUCAUACCAUCCCAUUAAUGAAUGUUAUCUUCAGAUUGUAAUAGUUAAAAUACUACUUAAAAACUAUAGCAUAACUCACCUCAGUUUUGCAUGGAUAAAGAAAAAAAAAAAGGAAUGGAAUAUAAUAACUCACCUCAGUUUUGCAUGGAUAAAGAUAGUUAAAAUACUACUUAAAAACUAUAGCAUAACUCACCUCAGUUUUGCAUGGAUAAAGAAAAAAAAAAAGGAAUGGAAUAUAUAAUAUCUGACCCCAAAUAAAAUUAAUUAACCUCCAUUUAUGAUGGUGUUAUGAAAAUCCUUUUUCUCUCACUGCAAUUGGUCAAAUCACUUGAAUUAUUAUUUAGAAACAAUUUUUUUUGACAUUAAAUUGAGAGUAUAAUUAGCAUUCAAUUAAACGUAUUAGAAAUUUCUUUCAGUAACAAUUCUGAUAAAAUUACACGUUCUUAAUAUUUAGUAAUGCAACAAUUAUUUAAUACAUAUUCCUGUUGACAAAUUUUGGAAUCCAUCGAUAAAGUUUUAGAUAUAUUUUACCAAAUGUAAAUGUUUUGAUAAAAUAUAAAUUUAUCAUCUCAAAAGCACCUAUAGAUAGAAUUAACUAAUUAAUUUUCAUUAGUCUUUAAGUUGAUGAUUGAUGAUUACUAUUAUCAUUGUUGUUGUUAUACAUGUUUAAUGCAAGUUGAAAUUCUGUUUCCUCAUUUUAUAUUUCAUGGCGUUCGGAAGUGGUUCAAGUCCAAUUAUAAUUUAGACUUUUUGAAAUUAUUCGCAAAGGUAUAGCUACCUCCGUAGUUGACUGGUACAAAAUUAGCAUUAAACUUCAAGUUGGCAUGGGUAUAUUAAAAUUAUGAUAAUUAAGGUGGUCGAGUCGAGUGUCUCUAUAAAGCCUGGCCCCAAAUCAAUUAUUAUAAGUUUCUAACUAAUUUUCAUUUUUUAUGAUUGCAUUCACAUGUUCAAUUGUUCAUAUCUCACCUAACUUUUUAAUUAUUUUCUCAUUUAUUUGGCUCAAUUUUAUUUGCUUCGAAAUAGUACAUUUCAAAAUAAUAAUAUCAUUACUGUACAGAAAGAAAAAAAAAAUUGUUCUAAUUAUGAAACUUAAGAAAAUUCUGCUAACUGAACAACCUUCAUGCAAGCAGACCGUAAUGACAUUCCUCGAAGCGGGAGAGCUGCGGUGGGCCACUUGCAAUUUUGCUCAGAAAAAAUCUUACCUAUAUAUCUUAGCAGGCUUAUUCAAGGUUGCUUUUGAAGAAUCCUUCGCAGGAAAAUGGGAUGUUAUUAUGUUAAAAAGUGAAUUAUGAUAAUUACAAAUUACAGCCUCUAAUAUCACCACCGUGUAGGCCACCCAAAUUUUUUUAAUUUUUAUAAAAUGUAUAUUUACUUAAAAUUACCCAAAUGCAGCGGGAUAUGAUCACAACUUUCAUUAAAAAUAUAUUUUUUUAAUUGAUCACAAAUCCAAUGGAAUAUGUUAAUUGGACUGUCAAAACCUAUCAAUUAAGGUGUUUCGUAAUACUUUACAUCUGAGUUUUGGCAGUUCAAUAUUUUUUUUUCUUUCUCAGUUUUAUUUCAUAGUUAUACCUUUUACUCUAGAGUAACUGUAGCUUAAAAGUUAUAGCACUUCACUUUCAAAAACACCAUUAAUUUAAUAAUUAUUAUUAUUCGACGUGUGUGUGUGUAUAUAUAUAUAUAUAUAUAUAUUAAUACACUAAAUGUUAAAAGGUGAAAGAUAAGAAAAAAAUUCAAUUAAAAAUUAAAAAGUUACCUUGAAUGCAUUUUUGCUUCUCAAAUACAGUUCAAUGAGUAUAUAACAUACGAAAAUUAAUACCAAGGAGCAAUAGUCACCACAUUCUAAACAAAAUUAUAGACAUCACUACAAUUGACAACUCUAAAACGCAUACUUAAAAUUCAACACACGCUAAAAAAUAUAGAUUUGUGUAAUAAUAAAUGAAAUAUCACCCUAUAAUCUCUAAUAUAUUUAAAUAUAUAUAAUUUUAAUAAUAUUUUUAAUUUAACAAAUAUAUAUCUGCUGUACCGUNNNNNNNNNNNNNNNNNNNNNNNNNNNNNNNNNNNNNNNNNNNNNNNNNNNNNNNNNNNNNNNNNNNNNNNNNNNNNNNNNNNNNNNNNNNNNNNNNNNNNNNNNNNNNNNNNNNNNNNNNNNNNNNNNNNNNNNNNNNNNNNNNNNNNNNNNNNNNNNNNNNNNNNNNNNNNNNNNNNNNNNNNNNNNNNNNNNNNNNNNNNNNNNNNNNNNNNNNNNNNNNNNNNNNNNNNNNNNNNNNNNNNGGUAAGAUCGUGAAUUCAGUUGAUGGUGGAUUUGGGGGGCCCUCGUAAUCAAAUGCUGGCCUUAGCAAUAUAUAUUUGUCUUUUGCUUUGUUUAUCUUCUACGUAAAGGACAGUGCCAAUCCACCAAUCAAUGACUGACACGUUUCUCCCACUGUGCUCCUAAAAGUACGUUUUUCUUUUUCUUACUGUUUCUUCUCCAAAAUACUUGUCGAGAUAUCAUUUCGUAUGCCGUAAAUGGGAGACCGCUGCUUCCUCCCAGUCCCAGCAGAUGCCGAUAUUUAGCUGCAAAUAUUUUAUAAUAUGAGUACUUCUUAUUAAAAUGAAAUUGAUAGACAGAACAUAAAAGAAAUUAAAAAUGUUAAAAGGUGAAAGAUAAGAAAAAAAUUCAAUUAAAAAUUAAAAAGUUACCUUGAAUGCAUUUUUGCUUCUCAAAUACAGUUCAAUGAGUAUAUAACAUACGAAAAUUAAUACCAAGGAGCAAUAGUCACCACAUUGUAAACAAAAUUAUAGACAUCACUACAAUUGACAACUCUACAACGCAUACUUAAAAUUUCAUCACACGCCAAAAAAUAUAGAUUUGUGUAUUAAUAAAAAAACAUAACAAUAAAAAAAAUUUCUUAACAUUUUAUCUUUUAAUAAGUGUAAAUAUCUAGUCAAAUAACUCUUUUUUUUUUUCAUAUUUUUCUUAAAGUUUUGGUAUGCGGGGCAAUAGGUUAUUAUGAAAGCAAUAGGGGGUGAGUGCAAUAUAGUGGUUUUUCCAGGAGAAAAUGGCAAUUUAUAGUCAUAUAUUAAGGCUAAAAGGACCUUUUGGUAAAUCAAUAGAAAAAAUUAAAUGGGAAGCCAUACUAGUUUAGCUCGUAUGGGACCAUAUUCAUUUAUUUACUUGAAGUAUUUGAGCAAGGGUUGUAGAAAUUGAGCCCUUUUUUUUUUAUGAAAGACAUAGAAUAGCCGAAGUCUAAAUUAACUUUUUAUUCCUCAUAUUAUCUAUAUUUGAACAAGGCUGAUAAAAAGAAAUAACAAUAACAACAACACGUUCUUUUGAAUGAUAACUAAGAAAGUUUUAAAUAUCUUUUAUAUUUAACGAUUAUAAAUUUAGUGCUGAACUGAUAUAUACUCAGUAUUUUUAUAAUACUGUACCACAUAAAUACAAGAUUAAGAUUAUAAUUAUCUUUACAUUCUUAUGCAAUAAUUAUUAAUUACAUCUUUUUGAAAAAUUAAUAAAAAGGGUGAAUUCAGCACUCAAUUCAAAGCUUACGCAAUUAGUUAGAUCCUCUUGCUAUAUGCAAUUUUUUGUUGAAUUUUUUACGUGUGUAAUUCACAACUUAUAAAGUUAGAAUAAAUUACACAUGUGGCAAUAAUUGAAUAACCAAGAAGAGUGAGGGGUGAAAGAGGUUGAAUUUACCGCGAUGGGAAAUAAGGAAAUUAAGAACGGAAAGGGAAAGGGCGUAUUGUACAGGAAGCGACUGGGGAGUGACGUAAGUGACUGGGGACAACCAUAAACCCAUGCGCAAUCGAGCGGUCCUCACUCCAUCCCUCUCCUUUUAUAAUUUAUAUUCCCUCCAUCUGCUUCUUCUUGACGGAAUUUUCUUCUUUCUCUUUCUUGUUUUCGUAUCCAUUUUCUUCUUCUUCUUCUUCUUCAUUUGGUCUAUCACGAACCAGUCAUUACAUAUAGCCCGGUUCAAGUCGCAGGUAAUUCAGCUUUGACUUGCAUGCAACUUAAACUUCUCAUUUCACAAACAUCUUCAUUCUUGAUUACGGCAUACAUAAACCAGCAUCGUAUCAUUUACAUUCUUUCUCUACUCGGUUGAGUGUUUUUUUUUUUUGGUUUAAAUCUCUUCCAUAUAUUUCGUGUGAGUUUCUGAGAAAUAUAAUUAAGACUUUUUGAAAAUAAGGUUUUUCUUUUUUUUUACUCAUUUUUCAACACGGGUUCGGGUUUCACUUAAUCUUGUUGAGUCAAACAGGCGACCAGAAGAAGACCGUGAUUUGGUAAGAGAUUGUAGGAACACUUGAAUUUUUUUUUUUUUUUUCAAUUCAAUGGCAAAACCCUUGAACCUUCAUUUUUCCUUCAGUCAUUAUCAUCGUUUCACAAAAAACGACUAGCUAGCGACUCACGUCUACAAGCCCCGCUUACGCCUAAAUCUUUUAAUUAUUAGAAUUUUCCUGAUUUUUUUUUUUUCAUUAUGGGAGUACUGUAUAUAUGUAAUUAAUAUCUCUAGCUAGCUCUCUCAUUCUCGGAGUCAGAGCAGCACCAAAUCACUAACACCUUGACAGUACAACCUCACCUCACCAAUUAAUCUUUGACUCACUCAUUAAAACACAAAUACCUUGAUUGACAAAUAAGCUUACCCAAUUUGUGGUGAGCUUGGAGCUCAUUUUUAUGAGCUUACCCUUUUGAGAAAGAAGCACAAACAUUUCUUUCAUUUUGGCUCCGCAUUUUCUCGAAGAAAGAGGCUCAGUGGUGCCACGGAAAUUCUCGACAAACAGACAAAAAUGUCAGAGCCCGUUUCUGCAAUGGGCAACAAGCUCUCCAGGAGGCUCAAGAGUGCUUUUCUUUUACCUUUGUCUCUUUUUAUCAUCCUUUCUUUAGCAUUUGGCAAUUGGCAUGCCUUUGAUUUAAUACAACGGUGUUCUGUUCCUCCUUUUGCCUCCUAAAUCUUAACGUUUUUCUCUUUCAAGAAACGCGUGCUAAAUUCUCAUCACGUCGUCAUCCACCUUACAGUGCUUAUGCGAGCAAUUGUCUUAUAAUUAAGUAUGCGACAACUCAAAUUCCAAACAGAUGAGAUGGAUUUAAUUAUUAUAUUUCAGUAAUUUUCUUCUGAAUUUCUUAAUUAAAGCGUAUUAAGUUAUGCAUAAUUUAUAUUUUCUAAAAAAGUAAGUUUUGUUUGCUUUUGUUUUAAAGCUUAAAACAAUUAAUAUUAAAUUUGUCUCUGGGUAUGUGCUACUGAUGAUUAAUAGAAAAAGUUAUAGAUUAGUUUAUAUUAAUCUAAUAAUUAAUAAUAGGAUUUGAGCGGAAACCCCGUUCUUGAUGCAUCAUUCCUACCAUUCGCCAACAGAAGACAACAUCAUUAGCACAAACCUCUCGUUGUCCGUUUCUAGAGACCUGCGUACAAAGAGAAGAGAGGUUAAGUUUAGUUCCAACUUCCCCCCCUUGGUUUUUAUCAAAAACAAACUCAUCUCAUCAUUUAGUUUUCUUUUCCUUUUCACCUCCUCCUCUUAUCAUUAUUUUUUAAUUUUAUUUUAUUAUCCCUAGAAAAAUCAUUGUGUAUGGGUGAAGGUGAAGUUAAAUGGGUAUUGUUUAUAACACGCGCGUAUUUUGGUAUUUCCUUUCAGAGAUGAAACGGUGAGUGUUGCUCACUACCAAAAAUAAGUUGAUGAUUAUGCCUGAUAACACAUGUCACCUUUUACUCGGAGGCCUCAUUAUUUCUUAAUUGAAUUUUUUACAAUCUCAGCUUUGCCUUUUUAACUUUUUUUCUUUCACUGGUUUUCGAUUUCUCUUCUCUAGCUCUUUACAUGUUCACAUCAGUUCUCUCUUUCUGAGUUCACAUCAGCUAUGAUUUAAAGAUGAUGAAGUAAAUGGUUGCGCGGUUGUUAAUUCUAGUGUUGAAUUUUAUGCAGCACCGAUAACAGAUAUGAUGGAGUCAAUGGAGUCAUAUGUCCCACCAGGAUUCCGGUUUCAUCCGACUGAUGAGGAACUCGUUGGAUAUUAUCUGCGGAAGAAGGUUGCAUCACAGAAGAUCGAUCUUGAUGUUAUCAGAGGCAUUGAUCUGUACAGGAUCGAACCAUGGGAUCUCCAAGGUACGUUUUUGUUUAGCUGUCACUUCUUCUUAUUAGGGUUUCUGUUUGGUGGGUGGAUCCAUUUGACCUUGGUCUUAAUAUUCAAUGAUGCGCAUUGCCUACUUAAGUAGUCAACAGACCAAGGUGUAUGCAGUAGUUAAGUCUUGUGGAGUCAUCAAUUCAGGAAUGACGUCAAGGCUACUGAACUGGAGUGCUUAUGCAAGAGUCACAAUAGUAGAGUAUACAACCAGAAAAUCUAUAUAUAUAUAUAUAUAUAUGUAUUCUGUUUUGACACAUAUAAAUGAUCUGUGCGUAUCGUGAUUAUGAACAGAGAGAUGCCGGAUCGGGUAUGAAGAACAAAAUGAAUGGUACUUCUUCAGCCACAAAGAUAAGAAGUAUCCAACGGGAACAAGGACCAACAGAGCCACCAUGGCUGGGUUCUGGAAGGCUACUGGCCGAGACAAGGCUGUGUAUGAUAAAUCAAAACUCAUUGGCAUGAGGAAGACUCUCGUCUUCUACAAAGGAAGAGCCCCAAAUGGCCAGAAAACUGACUGGAUCAUGCAUGAAUAUAGGCUUGAAUCUGAUGAAAAUGGUCCUCCACAGGUAAUUAAGCAUUAUUCUUCUCUCUCUCUCUCUCUCUCUCUCUCUCUUUCAGUUGCUGAGAUGUUAAAUUAAAAUGAUGAAAUCAAAAUUGUCUUCAUUAUCUUCCACAUGGUGGCCUUGAACAGUACCCCUUGACCUAAUAUGCGCGCGGAACUAUCUCUUUCAACUUUUUGUUUCCAAUUAAAUAAGCGUUCGGAAUUCAUUAGCUAUUAUCAGUUUUUGUAUACAAAUUGCACAGUAACUUUCUUGCAUUAGAUGUCAAGUACGUGCCUCAUAACUUCUCCUUAAUUUGGAACUAAAUUUUAGUCACAUUUAGUUCGGAUUGAAAUUUGUCAAAUUUUAGCUUAAUCAUAGAAAUUAAUGACGCUGCUACUGCUUUGCAUAUUCAUAGACCACUAUCUGCACUUGCCCUAGAAUAUAUGUUUUCUAUAAAUUUGGCCUCUUAUUAAUUAAGGUCAAAAAGUACUAAAUAGUAAUUCUAAAGCACUUUGAAUAGCUUUCUCCCUGUUCCUUUUCGAGCAUGGCUUUCUCUCUUCAUUCAUUUUGUCAAAAGCAAAAUUCCAUUUUUCUUCUUACUCCUAUAUCUACCUACUUCUCUUUUAUCAAACAGUUUGAAAACUCACAAAAGCAAACUGAAAAUAAAUGGACUAAUUAAAAAGAAAUAUCACUUUUUCCUUCCAAAAUAUCAUCUUAAAUAUCUAAAUAGACUUUGUUCAAUUAAAUAUUAUCAGGAAGAAGGAUGGGUUGUUUGCAGAGCAUUCAAGAAGCGAGCCACAGGCCACACCAAGAGCAUUGACGGCUGGGACUCAAGCUACUUUUAUGAUGAACCAAGUGGGGUUAGCUCGGUGGUUGAUCCCAUCGAAUAUGUGUCAAGGCAGCCCCAGAGUCUAUUAGCCCAAAAUUUGAUGUGCAAGCAGGAGAUAGAAGCUGAGAACUUGAGUUUCUUGCAAGCAGCUGAUCAGUAUUUACAGCUACCUCAGCUGGAGAGCCCAUCUCUGCCUAUAUUAAAGAGGCCAAGCUCAAUAUCUCUAACAUCGGAGAAUAGUGCUGAAGAAGAACAGAAUAGAGUGAACAAUAUUAACAACAACAGCAACAACGCUAAUAAGAAAGUGACUGAUUGGAGGGCAUUGGACAAGUUUGUUGCAUCUCAACUGAGUCAAGAAGACAGAUGUGAAGGAGAGUCAAGCUUCGGAGCACACGACGACAAUUCGGACAUGGCAUUGCUGUUGCUGCAAGAAUGGUAGAAAUUAUUAAUGCAGAAUGGAAACGGGUUGAAUGGAUUCUUUUUUCAACCUAGCUCGAUGAAUAUGCAUGCAUGGAUAUUUAACUAGUGAAUGGCGGGAGCCGGAAGAUGAAGAGGUUCUCAUUGUUAGUAUCAUAAAUGUGUUUGAUUUGAUAAUACGGAUACGUACUAUGUUUUUGUAAAAUUAUGGUGCUGGUGAUGAAUGAGUGAAAAACUAAUUUCUCACUCUUACUCUCGCUCUCGCUCUCAAAAUAUAUGCCGGUUUUCAUAUUUGUAUGUGAUGGUAUAAUCUAAGAAUGUAGGUGACGUAGAUAGAAGACUGUGUAUGUGUUGAUACAAGCUGCGCCAUAAUGAUCCUCACCAUAAUUCAUGUAACCUGCUGACUUAAAUUAUCUGACCCUUUAUAUAUAUAUGGAGAGAGAUAUAUAUAUGAGAAUCCUCUCUCAUGACAGUGCCUUCAUUUUUUUUCUCAUGCGGACACACUACUAAAUCAUGUAGUUUAACAGAGUCAGUGCAUACAUAUAAUUAAACCAUAUGACUUUGUAGUAAAUUGAACACUAACUUUAUUAAAUUAUAUGACUUAAUAAUGUAUUCAUAUGUACGCACUUGAAAAUUAACAUUUCUACAAGAUAUCACUCUUUGUAAAUUUGAAGGCUUCAUGGGUUUGUAAAGUAAACCUCCCACGAUAAUCGGUUUUUGUGAAAUAUUUAGCUUGUAAAUUAAUGAAUAACAUGUGAGUGAUGCAAGAGAUUUAUGGCCAUUUAGGAUAAUAAGGUUGAUAAGAGUUUAAUUAUUUUUAAAUCAUUUGAAAAUAAAUAUUUUUUUUCAAAAAAAAAAAGAAUUUCCUUCAUUUUAUUAAUUAAGUGAAUGAAUUGAGUGGUAGAGAGUUUACUUACCUAACCGGUGGUAGUUACUUAUUUUCAUUACAUAUAUACACAUACACAUAUACAUUCGAAGCUAAAUGUAAUUUUAUUCUCAUGUUUAUGGUUUUUAAGGCAAACACUAAGUAAGAGAUACUUUAUUAAAUAAUGAUAUAUAUAUUGUUUUGUAGUGUAUUUUAAUAAAGUAAGGGAUCUUUUAGCAACAAGUUAAUUUCGAAAAUUACAAAAUAACCAAGAAAACAUAUUCUCUACACAGGUUGCAUCCGCUAAAUAUUGAAAUAUAUUGUAAUUAGCUAGGAUCAUAAGUGUGGAAAUUGCAGAAAAGUCUCCGGUGCUUGGACAGGAUUGCUCAUUUUCUAUUCACUCACCAUCACGUGUAUCCUUCGCCCAAUCGUGAUCAAAUUCAUUAAUUAAUACACACAUGCAGUCGAUAGAUAAGAAGCAAAUGUUCUUGGAGCAUUAAAGCCUCCCUUGGAAAUGUCCUCGCUUCCUCAUUUUUCCGGUGAAUAUUGAAGAUGAAAAAGAUUUUACGAUGAAAUUAAAUUUCUCACGGGAAUCUAUUCGCCUACAGUCUACAGAGUGCGAUAUAUAUAUAAUAGUUUAUAAUAGGACCAAAAGAAACGAUUUCUAUGAUUUAUUUAAAAGCUGCAGGAACGUGCAACGUCAAACUGAAUGUCGGUGGUGCCGAUCUUCUGUGUGAGAAGAGUCAUAAAACUUCAUAAUUUAGUAAUAAAUAUACCAACAGUGUAUGUUUUAAUUUAUCCUCCAAGACUGAGGUGACGUCUUAAUUAUGUGAAACUGUGCAUAUCGAUUGGGAUAUGAAGAUAAAAGAGACAUAAAUAUUACUAUACGACGGGUGAAAUUCCCUGUUUAUGAUGUUCUUCUGGACACUAAAAUAGUGUAAAGAAGUAGUGUUGGAACUUUUGAGUGCAGCGAAUUGUGCAUACAGGAAUCUCUUUUUGAAGGAAUCAAUUGUAGUAGUACAGGACCAAAGUAUUAUGAAUAAACAAUGAAGGAAAAUUGAUAGGGUAUGAUCAUGAUUCAUGGCCGCUCAGCAUGGGAGCAUCUUGGUGUGCGUUUAGUGGGUCAUGGCUUGUCUAGCAUGCGCUGCGCACAUUGGCUCCUGCUGGGCAUGCUUGUCUUUAAGAACAUUUACAUGUUGACUCUCGUUUUUGUUUUUGUAGCUUCAUUUCACAUGUCCUCUUAUUGCCACACAUCACCAAACAAAGGCUAUGAGCAACUCAACUAAUUUCUUAAUAAUCAACUCCAAUCCGAAAAAGCGGUAUCAUCUAAUACUUUUUCAAUAUUCUACAUGUAUACUAUUGGACAAUAUAUGUUUCUGCAGAAAUGAUUGUCUGAUUGGACUAGCAGCUAGCUUCAUUCAUUUUCACACUGUUAUCAUCUCUACUGUCGAUGAACAUAUAUAUAGUACUCAAAAAAGCCCUUGUUCAUCUGCAGUGACAAGUUCAAGAAUUGGCCAUUUCUGACCCUCAACCAAUGGUAUUGCUCAAAUGUUCACAAAAUGAGCCUAUAAUUCAUCCUUUUUCAUGAGCCAACACAAGAAAUCUCAACUAAAUAAUUUAUAUAUGGAUGUCCAUGUCCUUGGUACAAGUAAUAAGCGAAGUAUAAUGAACCGCCACAUUUAAGUCAUCCCUAGAAUUAGAAUGCUGAUACGUACCGAUGCGUACGAAAAGUCGUUCGCUGUUCUACUGUUAUCGUAGGAUCUAAUGAUAAACAUGUACUGUUGGACGGAAAAAGGGUUACCAGUUUCAACACUGUUCAUUCUGUGGAUGCUAAGAGCCUAAGACGCACUAUUAGCCGAUUCGCGCACUUUCGGGAGAGGAGCUGUAUAUGCAGCAUCUUAUCACGUUUUCUAUUACUUUUCUUUUGGAGAGGCCGGCCGCUGGCACCAUGCCACAUUUCUCAGAGACUAUUGUCCUUUCCCUACUAAUGAUUAAGAACAUAAUUUAGUCAUCCUAAUGAUUACAAUUCCCACUCUUCUUUGGGAGGAUGAGACACCAAAUAAGCCUUGACCUUGCGCCCGAAAACAUUAAUCACUACUAUUAUAGAGGUGGUACCUUAUAAUCCCUUAAGUGCUACCAUUUUAAUUUACCUAAUACAUAAUUUUUUUUCAAUAUAUAAUAAUUGUUUUUGCUUCUAUUUUCCUGUCAAUUAACAUUAAAAAUUACUAAUAUCAUGGGAUCGUUCUUGUGAAAUCUAGCUAGUUUCUCCCUCGGAGCAAGCCUUCACAAUUCCCAAUUGUGCUACAACGUAUACUAUUAUACCAAAAUGUACCCUGUUGUUUAAUGGGUACCCUGUUUCGAAUUCUUUUAAAAUUUACCUGAAUUUCAAUCACGCAUGGGAAUAGAAAAUAAUCAAUGAUUGUUAAUUCAAUAUUUCUUUUUCUCUUUUUGGUUGCUUUUGUUAGAAAAGAUGCAUGAAUAUCUAGACGAAGAAUAUGCAUGCUUGAUGAGCAUAAGAGCUUCACAUUUUCAUUGUCGAUUUCAGGACAGUUGUACAAUGCAAAAUUGGUGGAUGAAGAAGAUGUGCAUCACCUCAUUUGAUUAAAAAUAAAAUUGAAGAUGGAAAAGUAGUACCCCUUUUAUUCAAUUGGACGGGCCACCUGCCGACCCCGAAAAGGAGGAAACGUCAUUCUCAUCAGGCCGAAGAGAGCCUCGACCAAUCACGUUCUGUGAAAUGAAUGCAACGAAACUCGGUCUUGGUCUAGUUUAUAAUCACCAUUCCCACAAGAAAUAUUGUUUUCUUUGUUGUGAUUGUUGCACGAAAUUAAAAUAAUCUUACACAUGCUGUCUCAGGCUUGGUCGGAGGAGAUAUAUAUUAUGGGCCAACUAAAAUCCUCCACGUUAAGAGCUGUGAAGCUUCUACUGGGUGAGACCAGAGUAGAAAGAUGAACAUGGAUGGCAAUUAGUACAGUAGUUGACCAAAACAAGCCUCCUUUUGGAGAACAAUGAUGAUAAUCAUGGCACGCAACAAACCAAGCGCCCUAUUCUGUUUUAUUUAAUUAGCCUUUUUUCAUGCAGAGAUAAGGUUGAAAAACUAAAAGGAAUAAAAAUAAAUGACCCCCUUCAUAUUCCCUCCCUCCACUUAUCCAAUUAAUAAAUUAUACGAUGAAUUCACAUUGAAGAAUGUAAAUAGAAUAUGUUAUCGCUCAUUAUUAGGAAGUGAAAACAUUCAAAAGCACUCGAAUAAUCCUCAUAUUCUGAGUAAUUUCAUAAUUUUUUUGUUUUUUGAAGUAGAAAGCUAGCAUUACUUUCAUCAAUUUAACAACAAACGAAAUACAGAUCGCAGAAAAUAUAUCCAGACAUAAUUAUGAAAUUACAUAAAAAAUUGGAAAUAAAAUUGAUUAGUGUACAUACGAGCCGAUUUACACAUUACAUUUUUAUGGAUCUUGAGUUGAAACCUUUCAGAUUAAUUAUCAUCAAGUUUCAGCAAUGCAUAUAUAUCAUAACAACAAUUGGAUAGAUCAUUAACACAUACUGAAGAGCAUGGAGAUAAAUCGGUGCUUCCAAGGCUAUCGAGGAGAUAUCAUGCAUCUCCGCGGCCACAGCAACCGUAGAGCUCGAAUAGGGAUAUUGCUUAGCUCGUUCACAAGAUUUUCCACCUCCUGACUUGGCUUCUCCAAUUAGUAUAAUCAUAUCUACUACAUAAACCAAUCCAAACCCCAUAACAUUACAGAUAUUUGAAACUAAAAAAAAAAAUGCUUAUUUUCAUAACAUAAUAUUGUAAAACUUUAAACCAACACAAAUUUGGAUGGACCAAGUACUUGUUCGUUAAACAAAUGAAGUCUGAAAUUUUAUUAAUUUCAUAACUUUCUUAAAAUUUAUUUGCUUAUUUUUUGUAAGUUAUGUCUAAUUUUCAAAUGUUUAUAUCUGAAUAGAAACAAUAGAUUUUUGUGAUGUUUAUUUGAAUGAAAAAAGACCAUAUAGGAGAGUAUAUCUUUAUUAAAGACACUUUUAUUUCAUAAACUGUAAAACAUAAUCUCUUUUUUAUUUUGAUUUAUAAGAACAUAAAUGUUAAAUAAUUAUGUUUAAGAAUUUUUAAUUUAUAAAAGAAAACAAUAGAACACUUUUUUUGGAUAUUAAAAACAAUAAACAAGUAUAUCAUUUAGACAUUUAUAUUUAGACACAUUCAAACUUCCAUAUCCAUUUAGAUUUCAGAUAAAAAUAAAUACUACCUAUAACCUUUAAUAAAUAUUGAUCUACAGAGAGAAAACAACCACCACCACCUAGUUGCUAGGGUGGAUAAGACCUCCAAAAUAUAAGGGUCUAUGGAAAAGAAAAAAGGAAACGACCGAAACGAAAAAGAAGAAAGAAAGAAAUCUAAUGAAGCAUGUUGCUUGAAUGUCCUAUAGAAAGAUGACAAAGUGAAACUUCAUUAAUCAUGAUUUUGCAAGAUUAUUGGUUAUAGGCCAUUCAAACAUUUAUCAUGAAUGCUUUUGUUGUCUCCUUAUUUCAAUGACAUUGUUGUAGAAAAAAGCUAUAUUCUACACUAGACGUGACAUUUCUCACGUUUGCAUCCAUUCAUAAAUUUAUCAUAUUAGUCGAAACAUGCCGAGUCAAUCAAAUUCAGAGAUUGAUAGCUCUGUUGGAUUUGAAAUAUCAAAAUCAUCCAAGAUUUACAUAGUUAUGACAUUUUCAUUGAUAAACUUGCUGGAAAGGGAUGUUGUAUGUUGAGUGCAAGACGGAAAUGGCUUUAUAUGGCUUACCCUAAAACAUGCAUUCAAUUAAGAGUUGAGCUAAAACCACUUACUUUAAAUAUGUCAUAGUAUUAAUUUAAAAGUACAUUAUUCUCUAAUUCUCUAUUUUCUAAAUUCGAUCCUUUUUUUUUUUUGCUAUGGUGGCUAAACUAAGUUGGAAGUCAUGACAGUUGAUAGAGAAUCGUAGACUUCUAGUCGUUUUAAAUUCAAGUAAUUUUACAUGCUUCUUAUUGCAACACUGGUGGUUCUUUUUCUUGAACUAUAUAUAAUUUUUAAAGUAAUUAAAAUCCUUUUUUUAGCACAGUAAAUCCUUCAUCAAAUCAUCUUUUGCACCUGAAAUAUUUUGUUUUAAACACUUUCUGCACCCUUUUUCAUUUUUAAUUAGUAAUUUAAAUAACCAUUUUCUUUUGAUUGUAAUUUUACAAAAAGAAUUACAAAAUAUUGCUUAAAACAGUUUUUAUAAGGAUGUUGGUGGGGUGCCAAUAGUCUCAUUAUGCUGAAUUAUGCGCGCAUGCAUAAUGUAUUGGAUAACUAAACCAGCAAGUCCGAUAACCUGACCGCGUUACAUCGGAGGCCCAUAAAGCUAAAGGACCCCGAAAGGCCUUAUAACUACAUAGAUUCUAACACGCCCUGAUGAGAAGACGGGGUGUCCCCAGUCCCCUUGAUAGAAUGAACAAUAAAGCAAUUGAACUGAAACUGCAGGGGUGCAUUGCAUAUUCAAAAGAUAAAUUCAUCCUCAAGGAACCAAAUGCAGAGCUUAGUUAUCAGAAUCAACAACCAAUCAUCAAUUUGUUUUCACCUACGCAAUCCAAAUUAACAAAGAGAAUCUGGUUACGCACAGCUGUUUCAAAUCAAGACCUUCACACAUGUUUGCAGGACAAUAAAGUGAAGUGUAAGCACCCCAGACCUAAAUUCAGAAGAGAAAUCAGCAUGGCUUGAUCACUACAUACAAAGAAGAUGCAUUCAACCUGAUAAUAAACAGGUUGCUCAACUACCUGCAGAUGUCACCCUCACUAAACAAAAGUUUUAUGCCUUCAGAAUUUAACAGUGUAUUCAACAAAGUAUUAUGAAACACAACAUGGCAACCAAGUUUAAUGAAAAUUAAACAGGAGGUGCAAAUUGUAGACAAACAUAAAAUUCCAUUUGGACUGGUUUCUCCUUGGCACUUCCCACAAGGACAUAGCAAUGAUAAGAUUACGUGUCUUUAACAUUCAAAUUAAAAUUUAGUACAACUACAAAACAUCCAGUAGAGAAGUAGUAGAAUAUAUCUUAAUCUGAUUGCUUUGAGCGAAAUGCAUACCGCUAUAAUUACUACUAAACCUGCCAAAAAUAAUGGUCCUCACAAUAACAUCAAACACAGCCUGAGAUGCAGCAUUGCAGGGACCUUCCACACAAGUACGUUAAGAUAAUUUUGGAAAAAAAGCAAAAUUGGAAGAUGAAGAAAUAUAACUCGUAUGUUUAUUACAACAAUAAGCCAACAAAUAUAUUGUAGGUGCUAUAAAAGUAAACAAACAGACGCAAACAGUCAACUCAUUCUGCACACACCACUAUCAAAAUCAAGAGCUCUCUAAGCAACUCUGCAAGCCACAGAAAGUUUCAGUAAGUUGACAAGAAAAUAUCAGAGCAUUCAUAUUCGAAAUAAGUAUAAAACACAUCAAAGAACAAAAUGCAUAUGACAACAUAACAGGGAGAAAAUACAAUGUACGUCUUUGUCAAUGUCGGUCUUUGUCUGUAAUAGGGAGCAAUUACAGAGUUUCAAGAGUAUUUGGUAAGCAAAUAGAUGUUUGGAUUACAGUACCAGAAUAAGUCUGAAUGUAGAAUAAAUGAGAAUGAAAUUAAUGAACAACAAUCAAAGCACAAAACUACGCCCUUUCUCCACGAAUUCGCCUGGCAAGCUGAAUGUCCUUUGGCAUGAUAGUCACCCUCCUGGCAUGAAUGGCACACAGAUUUGUAUCUUCAAAUAAACCAACAAGGUAGGCCUCUGCAGCUUCCUGAAGUGCAAGAACAGCGUGGCUCUGGAACCUCAAAUCCGUCUAUGAAAAACAAAGAGAAAAUAAAGACGAAUUUAAUCCCCACAUACUGUAACCACUGAUGAAACUAUUAAUAUGAUGGGGGAAAUGUAAAAGAAAUGGACUUCGACAAAAGUAUUACCUUGAAGUCUUGAGCAAUUUCACGAACAAGUCGUUGGAAGGGCAGCUUACGGAUCAAAAGCUCAGUGCUUUUCUGAUACUUCCGAAUUUCACUGUUCAUAACACAUUGAGAUAUAUCAAAAAAUGAAUGAAGAAUUAUUUUCAGGUAAAGCGUACAAUUACAAAAUGGGGAAGGAAAAAGGAAACUACAGCAAUGAAAUUCAUAAAAAUUUAUACCGAAGAGCAACAGUUCCUGGGCGGUAACGGUGAGGUUUCUUGACUCCACCAGUGGUAGGUGCAGACUUCCUAGCAGCCUGAAUUCAAUUGAAAAUUAAAGAAACAAUUAUUGAAUGUUAAAUUCUAGAUACAAAGUAUUGUCAUUUUCUAUUUAACAAUCAAGCUCCCAAGAUUUCUGAUAUAAUAGAAAGAUAGUUUCAUAACAUAUGACUAAAAAACGAUCGACUAAUCUCAUUAGGCUCAUACUCAUUUCAAAGAUUUAUUGCGCACUCAUAUUCAAUAUAACAAUAGAACACAAUAAAUGUAAUGACAUAAAAAACCACAAUUAGUUUUUGCAAAUUCCUGUAUGGACGAGAAGGCAAGUAAAUAAUUCAGGAUCAAUAGAAUCCCCAGAAACCAAGAUAAUCGCCUUUUUCCGCAAAAUUUUAACCUAAUGUCAAGAAUAUUAACGAACAAUUGGUCGUAAUGUAGAUUUGCGAAAGAAACGAGUCUUGAAAAGCUUAAAUAAUGAAAUCAAAAGGCGCGGUAAAAAUAAAGAUUGGAAAGACGCAACAGAUACCUUAGUGGCGAGCUGCUUCCUGGGAGCCUUGCCGCCGGUGGAUUUGCGAGCAGUUUGCUUGGUACGAGCCAUAUCACCUGGAAAUUAGAUUAACGAGUCAGAAUUAGAUUGACGCUGAACAGAUUUUUAAAGCGAAUUGACAAAAUCCACGGGUUGAAGUUUGAGCGUCUACCUGGUGCAAACCACAAUGAAGACGAAGAGGUUUCCGGGUUCGAAUUUUCAAGAAGUUUGACGAGCGUCAAAUGUGAGCCGGAUUUGGGUUUUAUUAUGUAUAAUACUAGGUGCAGGUGGGCACUAUUUGGUAGGGUUCCAGGAAAUCCAACGGCUGCUAAUUUCAAUUUGUGUCGUUAACCUGUUGGGUUACUGGUGGACAACCCUCAUUUAAUUAUGUUAAUGAAAAACCCAUUAUUCUAAAUCCAACGAAUCAAAAUGCAUGGCUCUUAGUUACGGAUUAUGUAGCUUUUUGAUUGCCUAUAAAUGCAUGCUAAUUAUGUGAUAUUCUCCAUCAAUCAUUCAAUUGGACACGUUCCGUACUUUAGAUUUUACAUUAACAGAUUACAAGUCUAAUCAUGUGAUUGGCCAACAGCUCUCAGUUUGAGAGUAUUUUUUAUUUUUCUAUUUUUUAAAUUAAGUUAACUGAUUUUUUUUCUAAAAGGUGGGCCUGCAAGUGGAUUUUAAGUAGAAGCUUAGAUGGAUUUGCUAGCUGGCCCCCAUUUUAUCUCUCAUAGCUCACAUAUUUAAAAUCAUAGUUUGACAGGUUUUAAAAAAAUAUAUGUACAAUUUGACAUAAAUGUUUAAUUUGUAAGAUAUAAGAAAAGAUUAAUAGAUUGUUCUAAAUUUUUGUAAAUCAAUUUUGGUUAAGAUAAAAAGUGACGGAGAGGGGAAAAAAAAAUAUAAGUGAAUGUAAUUAAAUUAAUUUUUAUUCUUGAAAACAACUUUACUUAUAGUGGGGUUUUAUAAAGAUCAUGAAGUGGUGCUCUUAGUUAUAGAGGCCAGUUUAGUAGACAUAUUAUUGGGCCGAUCAAAUAUUUUUUUUUCCAAGAACUAGGCCCAAUUUUCGACUUGGGAACACAGUAUGUACUGUUGAAUGAAAAUUAUGUAUCAUCCUUAUCUCAAACCUUCACCCUUCAUCUUCAUUCGAGUGUAAACGAAUGUUUUGGAGCAGGGUAUCGAACAUUAUCACGUGUAGAAGAUAUUUUGUCUACAUUUUUAGAUCUUAUCUUAUAAUAAUACAAACAAAUUUUGUUCAUAUUCUUCUAGUUUUAGGCGAAUUAUGUUCAGAUUGCGUGUUGUCUUUAUUUUACAUAUGUAUCUCAAAAUAAAGUCAAAAGGUUAAACUCAAACGCUGGUGGCAUUUACUAUUAAUUAUAUGAUAAUAUGUGCGAAACUUAGUCUAAACCAACCGAAUGAGAAGCUUAACCCUAUGUAUCCACAAGCUGUCAGUCAAUGUUGUACAUGUGGUCUGAAAUGUCUCCGUACGUUAUCAAUGUUUAUUGGUCACAAUCAUUACAACUACUCUACCUUUAGAGUUAUCAAAUGUAUAUACGUAUGCUGAUGGGUGGUGGCCAUGGUGAAAUUUGUAAGAAGGGAGUGGUCGCAUGCAGAGUUAAAAACUUGAAAGUUUCGAUUGGCGAAAAGUAAAGUAAAUGUGGGGACCAAGACCAAGCUGAUGCUUUUUAAUUAUCAUGUGCCUUAAAAUUUGUAUAAAUGGUAUGAAAAUUAAAUUUGAACAAAAAAAUAUGGGUUGAUGGGUAAAUUCAUGGAUGGGUCACUAUCGUUUGAAAGACACAGUACAAUAAUUCAAUGUUAAAUGAACUAGUGUGCCAACUCUUAUUUAGCUGGGUUGGUGUAAGCUUUGGGAGGAGGAGGAAGAGGCUGCGACGUGGCUCGAUACCUAGUUUAUUAGAUUUUUAAGAUUCUUUUGUGUAGCGCUAUCUGUUGAUCCACAAGUGGAGAGCUUUUGUGUGAAAGCGGCUGCAUGAGCAGGAUGCAUAUGGACAGAUGUUUAUGAUAUCAUGUAUUCAUGGUAAGUGGUAGUCGGUUUUGGAAUAUGUAUGUAAAGUAAGUAAAAUGACAUGUGAUGACGUGCGUUUGCUUUAGCACGAGCCCCCACGUCAUCGACCUACUAAUGAUGUAAGCCCUCGAAUAAGCCAUGCCUGUCCUGGACUUACCUAAAUGUCGAAGCUCGGAUACUAAUUAUUAUUAUUAUUAUAUAAGAAAGGGAUUAAAGAAGAUGACGAUGAGGAAAGAAAUUCACAAAAAUUGUUAAUAGACAGAGUUCAGUCUGCUCUUUUGCAGUCUCAAGCUCUCUCUCGUUUUUAUACUUUCUCAGAUCUUCUAUGAAAAUAAUCUUUGUGCGUAAUUAACGUAAAUAAACUGGAAAAUACAAGAAUUAUUAGAGGGCGAGAAAUUAAUCAGCUGAUAUACCUUUAAUUCCUAUAUAACCCGGACAUCUAUGUAUGGUCUACUAGAUCUUUUAAUAUGACAUUAUUACACCAUUAGUAUUUAUACUCAUCUUCUUUUUUCACUGUCAAUUAUUUCAAUUACUAAAAUUUCUUAUAGCAAAAGAGUUAAACCUUGCUCACAUGGGGUGCGGUUAAGGAGAGUGGUUUGAUUUCUUUAUUAUAUAUGAUAAUCUAAUUUUGAUUACGGAAACUAUAAAUUUUACCUAAUGAAACAUGAAAAUUAAUGAAAUAGUCCAAAAACCCAGUUAUGCUUAAUGAGUCUCCUAUGUUGUUACGCACUCUACUUUAGUCAUUUUAAUUCUAGUUUUAUACAAUAAUGUUAGAUGUAGACCUUGUAGUUACAGUAAAUUCCAAUUGCCAAACAUAUAUUUCUCUGUCUACCUAUGAAGUUCUUCUGAUGGUUUUGGUACCUUUAAAGUUAAUUGAGAAUGAAUGAAAUAUUGUUGCCAAUAUAGCGCUAUAUUCACCCACAUGUAAGGCGAAUAUUGAAGGAAUUUUUUAAGGCAUACGAAAUUCAAACUACAAAAGCAUUGUUAAUUUUUUGAUUGCUCUUUCCACCAAACCAAAAACCUAAGAGAAUUAACUGCUUCUAGCCAGGAGAUUUUGAGAUUAACUGAAAAGCAUUUGAAUUCUGAAAGAGAGAAUUAAGAAAGAUAUAUAAUAAUAUGAAAAGUAACAUUAUAUAUUUUGAAAAAUUGAAGUACAUACGGAUUCAUCUUAUUUCUCCUUUUCACCAUAAUUGUUGCAUAUUACUAAAAAAGAAAAAAAUUGAAAGAAUCAAAAGGAUUCGAACUUCAUUUGAAAUCUUUUUUUCUUUUUAAAUGAACCUUGGCUAUCGAGAUAACUUUAUUGAAAGUAAAGAAUAAUACACUCAUAUCAUAGAGACAUAGUGGGCCUUAGAUAACUGCAAUAACAAAAGAAAAAUAAAAAAUAUAGACAGCAAAAUAACAAAAGAAAAAGUAGAAAAAAAAAACAAACUUCAGAAAAAUGAUAACUAGAAGUCCAUUGGUAUCAUUAGAAAGAAAUCUAAAAAUUUUUAGUGACAAAUUAUCCCAUCAAAUGAAAGCAGCGCACUCUAAUUCUAGAUUUUACCAAACAAUAAUUAGUGGCUGAUUUUAGCUUUAUUUGAAAUGUGCACACAGAAUCCGUAACAAACUAAAAUGAAUUUGCUGAGAUUGGGUCGUACAAUUUAAGUCUCUUUAUUUUCUUCACUCAAAAUAUUUUAGAGAAGGGAUCAAGAAGAAGGCAUAUUAGUUGAUUCGUGGCCAUCUUUUUUUUUUUUUCACUUGUCCCAAAAGUUGUCGCGCACGACAUGACCUAAAGUUCUUCUUCCGUUCGGAAACGUGUGCCAGUAAUGUGUAAACUCAACUACAGUUCUCUCAAAGCACAACUUAUUAGCCGUGGAUGGUUUUAUUCCUUGCAAAAAACAGCAGCUUCCGGGAACAAUAACUUUAUCACAAAGUAAAAUUGUUUCUGUCUAUCUGUAUCCAAUUUGGUUUUGUUUAGAAAAUAUUAAUGUAUAUGUUAAAAGUCUCUAAAAUUUAAUACAUAACCAAUGUUAUUUAUGUUGCUGAGAUUAUAAUAAUUAUGCGCCAGUGAAGAAAGCGAUUGUCUGUCGUACGUUACAGCUAUCAAUACACACGUUUUACUGCUGAAUUUACAGUUCAGAUAUCUUAUAUUUUGUUCUUUAAUUUUUUUCCUUUAAUCUGCAUAUCUCCUCAACCAAGUUAUUUUUUUCCCUUCAUUUUCCAUAUAUUCAAUCAACAAGUUUCUCAUGUUGCUCCGAAAAUAGGAAGUCCCAACCCCCCAAGGAAACAAAUACAGUGAACCCAUCAAAAUCAUAUGCAUAGUUGUUGUACGGACUUAACAUGUUCAAGUAAAGAAUGCCAUCGGCUUUGGCUUAGUAUGUUGAAACGAUAAAAAGAAAAAUUUUGUUCUUCUUUUUGAUUGAUUCACAAGGAAGACUGGGUGCAAUAUCUGGAAAUUGGGCUUAUACUGAAUAUGCUUUUUAACCCUUUUUUCCCCCUAAUCUUCAUAUACAAAAGUUACAUUCAAGUUUAAUUAAUUGGAAACAUGCUCUUGGGUUGCUCCAUCAAGCUUGAGAACGUGCUAAUGCGACAUCGUCCCACCAGAUUCUGAUUCAACUUCCUUGCACGAUAGGAAUUUGGAGCUGCAAGCUUCGACAGAAAUUCAUAUUACAGCUCACCCAGAAACUAUCAUCUGUUAGUAUAUGCACAAAUAUUUAGCGCAGAAAUUCCCUCACCUUUAUAUCUAAGCAAAUAUGCUUCUUUUGACCUGAAUAUGAAUAAUAAAAAACCCCAGAUUUUUCCAAUAAAAACAUCAACAGCAAUUUGUAAGUUUUUUUUUUUAAAAAAGGAAAAUAUAGUGUGCGUGUGCUCACCUGAUGUGUUCUGGUGAUGUUGUGAUAUGUUGUUGUUGGUAGCUAGUCAUUAAUCGCCGUUGCAGCAUCAUCAAGAUUCUCACUGACAAAAACCAAGGCAAGCAAAAAUGAAGAAAAAUUGCUGCUUUUGCCUUUAGACUGCAUGUGAAUCUUGAGGACGCUGCUACAGCGAGCAACGACUGUUUUAAGGUGACGUGGCAUGUAGCAAAGGGUUUUAAGGUUAGAGUUGCAUGAGCAUGAAAGAUAUUUCAUUUAAAACGGAAAGGGUUUUAAAGAUCUGCGGAGAAAGGAUGGGAACCGCUCAUAAAUAUUUCUAAUAAUUUUAUAUAUUUGCUUUUGAAAGGGUAGGAAGUAAUUGAAAUGGUCAAGAUCUGACCACUCACCAGUGUUAUCUUCAAAGUACCGAACUAUGAAGAUAUCAAAGAGAGUGAGAGAGAGAGAGAGAUCAUUUGUAUUCUGUAAGGAAGGACUGAAGAACGGAGAGAUGAGAAAAUUGUGUGAGGAAGAGGGUCACUCGAGGUCCAUUAUAUACAGGCUGAGGACUGGAAGGGCUUCUUGUGUGACCGCUUGGUGGACGAAAGUUUUGCACCAUCUUUGAUUUCGAGGUGACACGUUAGCUGACUCCGGAUGGCAUUACCUUCACGCAAACUACAUUAUCCAAUACCUUUAUGAGAUACACAUAAUCUGAAAACUAUUAUAUGCAUAUGAAUAUGUUAAAUAAAUUCAAAGAUAUUACCAGCAAGUGCGUAGAUCAAUUGGUAAUAAAUUGUUCUAACUUAAUUAAGGUCUUCAGUUCAAGAUUUGAAAAUACAGCCGCGUUAAAUAUUCGCUGCCCUAGUAAAUAAAUUCAAAGAUAUUGUUUGUAUUUGAUUAUUUAUCUUUAUUAUGUCUCUAAAUUUUUUUAAAUGACGCCACCUAAAACUUUUUAUAAGAAGAUGAUCAUUUAUAAAAUAUGUGAUAUAAUUCUAUUAAACGGUUUCAUUGAGACCAUACUACUUACAAUUUUCUCGUAUUCAACCUUUACUAGAAUUAUGAAUGGUAAUAGCUAUUGGAGAGUAGGUGAUGUACCAAAGAUAUCCAAUUUUUUUUUUAAUAUUUUCAUAUGAAAUCUUAAUAUUUAUUUAGUUUCUCAAAACUUAGAUAGUUUUCAUGAAAAAUCAUCGUGGACCAAACCUACAAGUUUUCGUUAAACAUAAAACAUUAUUUCACCACUUUAAUUAUCAAUUUAACACGACCUUUCAGAAUUCAAGAAAAUAGUAAAAAUAGUUAUUGGAGAGCUCAAUGAUGAAAAGUGAAAAUGGCUACGGUUAUGUCCGAUCAAAGAGAUUGGUCAGAUGUAGAUUUUUUUUUUUUUUUCAAAUUGUAGAUUCGGUUUUUUAAGUACAUACGCUAUCUUUCGAAUUCUUAGUGGAUUCAGAAUUUUUUAAAGUAAUUACAAGUUUACUACUCAAUCCCACGUGGAAAGAAAAUAGACCAAUCCACUCAAGUGAUUAUUUUUACAACAAUGCUGCUUUGUUUUUUUUUUUUUAAAAGGGUUAUCAAAUUUGGGUCCAGUUAUGGUGCAAUUGUGGUACCAUACCACAACUACACCUAACUAUUGGAUCCAGUUGCACACAUGUACUAUAAUUGGAUCCAAUAUUUAGGUGCAGCUGUGGUAGUUGCACCAUAAUUUUGUCCAUCAAAUUUUGAUAAAAGCAUAAAAAAGAAAUCAAAAUAUCAGAGUAGUUAUAAACAAUUUGCUUUUUUGUCAACAUACUUUAGUCUUUUUCUAUUUCCUAUAAAAAACUUGUAACCCAAUUUUUUGUCAAGAUAGUACUCUUCUUACUCUUAACAGCGACAUUUAAGCAAAAGAGCUAUGAAAAACUCCGUGGAGUUGUAUAGGCAAAGACUGCUCUAAUAUAUGAACUGUUAUCCCUUUUGUAAGGCGUUUAUGCAGGAAGAGUGAGUUGAACUAAUUAGGGAGUUUUGCUGAUGAUUAAGUAAAGAUUAAGACUGUGCAUAACAAUUAGUUCAGUUUUAACUUCGUGGAGAGGUUCGAAUUAAACCAGUUUACAUGUGCGUGAAGAAUGGGUAAAAGUGUGAAACUAUUUACGUCAAAGAAAUGAUUUUAAAAAUAAUAAUAAUAGUGAAGGCGUUAAUUGAACGAUUGCCUAAUUGCAUGUAGUAAAUUUACUGUUUAGUCCCGUUACAGCCACUGUUUUACAUUAUGGCCCUCUCAGUUUUUUUAUGGUUUAUUAUUACGUCCCCCGCAAACCCAAAAUCGUGGUUCCCUGCUGCAAGGAGAUUAGUUCCUUGUCAUUUCUAUGUUAAUAUGUAUAUACGGACUUGACUAGCUUACAGAAUCUGUAAGCUACAGACUGCAGCAUCAGCCGUUGGAUGUGGUUGGAUGUGGAGUGAGAAACUAAACAAUAGAAAAUCGGAUGGUGGGAUGACGGGAGAUGUUUGUUACAGAAUCUGUACCAUAGACAGGUCCUGUAUAUACAUAUACAUAUAGAACUAGCUAGCUAGUAUAUGAAAACUUGUGCGUCAGCUCCCGAAAAAUUAAGCCAAGAGUAAGAAAUUUACUUAAUUUGACGAGCAUCAGUCAAAAUUCUAACGACAAAAAUAACGUGUGUAUAUAUUAGUGAGCAUAUAAGUAUAUAUAUAGGCUGUAUCAUAAUAAAAUUAAAUUGGAUUAUUCUCUGUAAAUUUGUACUGUAUUCUAUAUAUUUUUCAUGAUUUGUGCAAACAAAAGGAAUAUCAAAGUAGCUUGUUUUAUCAUCAACAGUGGCGAAGGAGAUUAGGUCCACAUAUUCUCAUGCCAUAUGUUUUAUUUCAAUUUGAAAAUCGAGCGGAUACGAGAGUAUCUUAUUUCUAGUAGAAAUAGAUUGGAGAGAGACAUAGAAAUUGGUACAAUUAUUGGUAUGAUGAUACAGUCAGAGGAUAAUAUUUAUAAUAAGCAAUAAUUUUAACCUAGACUUUUGUAAAAGAUGCCGAACGACGUCCCGCUGGCAGGCUUUGAAUUGUUUCUUCGGACCACACAGUGUGUUUAUUAUCUAUUGUUUAAUGGAGGUCAAAUUUUGCCUGACACCACCCUUAAUUUCUUAGUUUCACACGAAUCAUCGAGUAAAACUUGAAGAUUUCACUCUGCUUGGUGUAUUCUUUUUUCAAGGAAUCAAUGAUUCAUUGCAGAAAGCGCUUGGAUGUGGAUGCUGCUCAUCAAGAUUCAAGACUGUGUAAACAGCGUAACUAUGACUCCAUUUAUCCCUUUGGCAAUUGGUAUUUUAAUCAUUGUGAUUUUUAAAUCCACCCUUGCUGUAAAAUAUAGUUAUCUACUGUCCACACAAAAUAAUAAAAAUUAAUUAGAUGUCAACUAAGAUAGAAUUUCAUUGUCAAUUUGAUAGCUACAUCUAAUUUUUACAGGUCUUUGAUAAAUUGUUGCUAUUAUUUUGAAUUUGUAAUCUCUUACUUCCAUUAUAAGCGUUUUUUUUUUUUGAACUGAUUAAGCAUGAGGUUACUGUAUUACACAGAGAUAUUUACAAAUGACAACAUAUCAUUGCAUUGAUAAUAUUUACAAUCAGAUAUAUAUCUGGGACUUACAUUAUUACAUUUUUAUUCUUUGAAGUAUACGCCCAGCCAAAUACCCCUCUCGGUGAGGGAUGUCUCUAUUCCACUCGCAUUUCGCAAGAGAAAAAGACGUUAUAAGUAAUCUCCACACAAUUAUAAUUAAUUGAGGGAGUUUGAGUCUGUAGGGACUCGAACCAUUGCCCUCAUAGUCAUGCUUGACUUUAAGGACAAUGAUUCACCACUGGGCUACAAGCCCAAGUGGCUCCAUUAUAAGAGUUAAGCUACCUAAUCGAUGGUUUACAUAUAAUUUUUUAUGAAAUUUAUGAUCACAAGAAAAAAAAAGAUAAAAAAAUUGGUAUUUCUUGAGAAUGAGCAAGCCAUUCAUCAACAUCCAGCUUCCACCAUCACUACCACCACUAACCUUUAUCGGCAUCAUUUUCGUAUGUAAAUUUUUAUCAGGAGAUUUUAUUUUGUUAUCAUCGCUAAUUAUUAUAAUUCUAACUUUUUUUUAUCAUCAUACGUAUGUCAUCAAAGACCUUUAUCUGGAAAAUGGUUGCUGAUUUGCUAUACAUCACCAACGCUGUGUAUUAAACUUGUUAAAAGAUAAGUUGUGAUAAUAUAUGACAAGUGCGAAUUGAAGUCAUAUUGUACGAUGCCAUUCAACCUGCCCUAUAUCUUCUUUUGCUGUUAAAGCUUUAUUGGAAUAAUCAUUCAGGUGAAUGAAAAUGAUUGUUUUGUUGAAGAUUUUUUGAGUUACAGUCACACUACAACUAUUUCACGCAUGAAUAGGAGCAAACCUGGGGCUUUGAUUACAUCAUUAGCCUCUAUGAUUGGAAAACAGUGCCCCACAUGCGGUUAUUGACACAAUACUUAAUUAAAUCUCAGUCGCACAUUUAAAGAAACCAAACUCAAAAGCUUAAAUUGACAGAUAAAGGCCAACAAAUAUAAUUGCGGACUAUCAGUCUUAAAACUCUUAACAAUUCAUCACGAUAUGUGCAGAUUUCCACCAAUAGAUUUAAGCUCAUUAUGUGAUGUAAUGAUAGUUAACAACAUCUCGCUAAUUAAGCAAACCAAAGAUGAAAAUGGUUCUAAGAGAAACUUUUAAUGCAAAAAUGUCUAUACAAUAAUAUGCACCAUUUGAUGUAUCAAUGCGUACGUCUGUAAUUUUAUUGUUUUUUAAGGUUCUUGAAUGUGGAUAUCGUAUUGCACCUUUUUUUUUUUUUUUUAAUGUGUACUCUUAAAACGCACAUUAAUUAUUAUUUGUAUAGCUACAUCGUGCGGAGAGUAGGAGGAUAAUAUUUUACUUAAGCUUAAUUUGAUAGCUCCUCUAAUCUAAAUUAAUGAUUAAAAAGAAAAAUCUUUAAAAUAAGUAGUCUUAUCCGAAAAAUCGUGAGUGUGUGUGUAGACGUGAGAGUGAAAACAUUCACGAGAUGCAAAAAUAAUUGUCCUUCACGUCCAGCUAGCCCUUCUGUUUUAGCCAUUGACCCUAAACUGUAGGUUGUCUUCAUUGCAAGCAACUAAGCAAUGGUGUGAGAGAUAUGUCGCUCCGUCAAUAAUUUCGUCUCUUUCACAACUUAGUGGGUUACCUACAAGCUUAUAGGGCUCAAUAGCUGAGGCCAGGUAUAUAAAUUAUGAGGCUUCCUGAGAUUCUUCGUCCUUUAGCUUUGGUUACGGCGCAGAACUGAGUUAUCUGCUGGACGAGAGAGUGAUCGCCACAAAAAUUAAUCUUUUAUAAUAUUUUUAUAAAAAAAAAAUAAAACAAAAGAAAAAGAAAAGAAAGUAAGAAAGUGGAUUGCAAAUCCAACCAAAGAAAAAGGAACACAUGCAACACGCCUCAAAAUUAGGGCCACAAUCCAAACAAUCUGACGUGCGCCUGCAAGUGCUUGUGUGGGUGCUAGCUGCUAACCCCACUUUCUAUUUUUCUUUUCGAGAAAUGAGAUUAUGCGGAACGCGUUGGAGCAAGCAAGCUGCAAGCAUUCAAAAGCAAAUAAGCAGUAAUACUAAUUCACGUAUUAUACAUGUUGAUGAGAAUGGACCAAAACUGUUCCAACAGUGACAAGCAUGAUCCCCAAUUUUAACCAAGGUUAAAGUAAUAAUUUUUUAUUGCCAUAAAACUAGUUGUUAAAGAUCAGUAUACAACCAUUUGACUGAAAAAAUCGAACACCACCUCUUUCAUGGCUUUCAAAUAUUCGCCCGUAAGAAAACAAUUGGCUUUAUUUUCUUGGGUGUUUUGCUGUGAAAAGAUGAAAGAAGAUUCAAUGGAGAAAGAAGUCGUGAUAUGUACCAUCAAUCACAAUUCACAAACCAUGUGCAAUUUGUCUUGUUCAAUCAGGUUACUGCUGUGGAGAUAAAUAUGAAGUGUCAUCUCCUUCGUGCAUACGCAUUUUAAACCCAACUUUAUUUUCUGUGGGACAUAUAUACUUCCUUCCUUAACUCUCUAACAAAAUAUUCUAUAACUAAGGCAGUAAAAUUCUUAAUUAUAAAUUUAUAAAUCUUGUAAACUCUCCAUAACCCUCCACAGGUGAUGAAUAAUAAUAUAGGUACGUUUAACAAUGGUUUGAUAUCACACAUCUCCACUAUUCAUUUGUCCAAUUUUGGAGGGUUAUCAAACAAUUGUCAGAAUGAUGAGAAUAAGCCCAAUUGACUUGGACGACUUGGGUUUUGGCCUCUUAGGAAACCCCAUUCAAAGGCCUUUUCUUUAAGGUAAAUAUGGGCCGCCAUGUAAAACCCAAACUUUUGAAUUGGACUCAUUAGAUAGCCCGAGUUAGUUGACUACAAAUAAGAGUGCCCAAAUAGUUUAUUGAAGCACCCCUACCCAUUUAGUGGUAACACCAAUUUAACCUCACUUAAAAUCAUUCUUAUAACCCCAAUUUUUCUCUCUUAAAAGUCAAAGCAGAAGUUUUAUUUUCUUUAAAAAAAAUUCUUAAAAAUUUUCAUCGAAUAUUUUUAUUUAAUUGAUCACAAAAAUUUAAGUUCUGAAUAGGAAGAAGAUAAAAAUUAAUUUUGGCUUUUAUCACUCCUACAUUUAAAAAUAAUGUAUAUAUACUAUUAUACAAAUUUAUUGUUCAUAUUUGCUUAUUCUUGGUUUAAAAAAUAGCAAUAAUAAAAAGGUAUCUUGUUCGGGAUAUUAAAAUUUUUCUAAAAUUAACAAAUAAUGCAAAAAACAUGUUUAUUGUACGAGUUUUUAGUUAAAGAAUAUAUCAUUGCAUUUUACAUGUGAGUUUAAUUAAUAUUUUAUAUAAUUGAAGGGGCAAGCAUGGGCUGGUUUGGUUUAAAACCCAAACCAAAUCAUAAAAGUUUGGGCCCAAUUCAAACCAAUCCAAAUCAAUUAAUUUUGAGUUUAGUUUGAAUUUUAUGAUCAUUUUAUAUUUCGAUAAAUUUUGUUAUGUCAAAAUUACAAUAAUUAAAUUAGUGUUAAAAUAUAAAAAAUAUAGUGGAUAAAAAAUUAUAAAUAUAAAUUUUGCAAUAACUUCAUCCUUAAACCAAAUAAUACUAGAAAAUUAAAAUAAAAUUUAAUCACAAAAGUCAUUAUUUCUCAAUAAAUAAGAGCACAAACUCUAAUAAUAAAAUUCCACAAGAAUGACAUCAACAAGUAAAUUGAAAGAAAAAAAAUAAAAAAUUAGUAGUAUUAAUCGUAUUGCAACACAAAUUCUAACAAUUUUCAUACAAAUUAAAGUAAGAUAAGACAACCCAAUUCAAGUAUCAAAGCAAUUCAUCAUAAUCAUUCUCAUCUGGAGUACUUUAAUCAAGAGCUUUCAUGAUCAACCGAGUUGCUCGAUCACCAACAAACAAAUAACAAAAAAAAAAAUUAUAAUGUUGAAUAAUUAUAAAGGUGAGUAAAUUUGGACAGGAACAUACCAAAAUCAUGAGCAUAACAUCGAUACAAAACAGUCGCCUUCGUGUUACACUUAAAUCAAAUUAUAUAUUAAAUAAAAAUAAAGUAAAAAAAUCUAGUGAUAAAUAAAUAUAUAAAUUUUUUUACUUGUUAUGAUAAACAAUUACCUGACAUCAUGGCUUUAAAAUUUUUUUUCAUAUAAUUAAAACACAAACAAUAUCAAAUUCAAAACAAACAGUCAGAUAAAUUAAAAUUUUCCUUUCUUUUUUUGGCAUUUAAGAGGUUCAGAGUAUGAAACUGCUUCAUCAAUCAGGAAUUUUCUGAAGCAGAACUGGCAAAUAAGCUGUAUAUUUUCCUCCGUGACUAGCCUAGGUUCCGGAGAGUCUAAUGCUGUCGAAAACCAACUAGAGGAGAAUUAAAGCAGAACGGGCAUACAAGCAGGAAUGAAUUCAUUUUCAUUUGUUUUGUUUAAUUUAUUUUCGCUUUUGAGUUUUGGGAAGGUAAACCAUAUCCAAAAGAUAAUGAAGUAGUUUCUUACAUAAAACACAAAUCUAACCCAUUUUUAUUAUUUACCCAACCCAAAACAAAUUUAUUUUGGUGUCGCAGUCUACAGUCUACUUAGAAAGUAAUUUUAAGUCUAAAAUUAGUUGUAAAUAUCUAGUUUUAAGACGAUUUUGCAGGAGUGUAAAUCCCCCCCCCCCCCCCCCCUUUUUUUUUUUUUUUUUUUUUUUUUUUUUUUUUUUUUUUUUUUUUUUUUUUUUUUUUUUUUUUUUUUUUUUUUUUUUUUUUUUUUUUUUUUUUUUUUUUUUUUUUUUUUUUUUUUUUUUUUUUUUUUUUUUUUUUUUUUUUUUUUUUUUUUUUUUUUUUUUUUUUUUUUUUUUUUUUUUUUUUUUUUUUUUUUUUUUUUUUUUUUUUUUUUUUUUUUUUUUUUUUUUUUUUUUUUUUUUUUUUUUUUUUUUUUUUUUUUUUUUUUUUUUUUUUUUUUUUUUUUUUUUUUUUUUUUUUUUUUUUUUUUUUUUUUUUUUUUUUUUUUUUUUUUUUUUUUUUUUUUUUUUUUUUUUUUUUUUUUUUUUUUUUUUUUUUUUUUUUUUUUUUUUUUUUUUUUUUUUUUUUUUUUUUUUUUUUUUUUUUUUUUUUUUUUUUUUUUUUUUUUUUUUUUUUUUUUUUUUUUUUUUUUUUUUUUUUUUUUUUUUUUUUUUUUUUUUUUUUUUUUUUUUUUUUUUUUUUUUUUUUUUUUUUUUUUUUUUUUUUUUUUUUUUUUUUUUUUUUUUUUUUUUUUUUUUUUUUUUUUUUUUUUUUUUUUUUUUUUUUUUUUUUUUUUUUUUUUUUUUUUUUUUUUUUUUUUUUUUUUUUUUUUUUUUUUUUUUUUUUUUUUUUUUUUUUUUUUUUUUUUUUUUUUUUUUUUUUUUUUUUUUUUUUUUUUUUUUUUUUUUUUUUUUUUUUUUUUUUUUUUUUUUUUUUUUUUUUUUUUUUUUUUUUUUUUUUUUUUUUUUUUUUUUUUUUUUUUUUUUUUUUUUUUUUUUUUUUUUUUUUUUUUUUUUUUUUUUUUUUUUUUUUUUUUUUUUUUUUUUUUUUUUUUUUUUUUUUUUUUUUUUUUUUUUUUUUUUUUUUUUUUUUUUUUUUUUUUUUUUUUUUUUUUUUUUUUUUUUUUUUUUUUUUUUUUUUUUUUUUUUUUUUUUUUUUUUUUUUUUUUUUUUUUUUUUUUUUUUUUUUUUUUUUUUUUUUUUUUUUUUUUUUUUUUUUUUUUUUUUUUUUUUUUUUUUUUUUUUUUUUUUUUUUUUUUUUUUUUUUUUUUUUUUUUUUUUUUUUUUUUUUUUUUUUUUUUUUUUUUUUUUUUUUUUUUUUUUUUUUUUUUUUUUUUUUUUUUUUUUUUUUUUUUUUUUUUUUUUUUUUUUUUUUUUUUUUUUUUUUUUUUUUUUUUUUUUUUUUUUUUUUUUUUUUUUUUUUUUUUUUUUUUUUUUUUUUUUUUUUUUUUUUUUUUUUUUUUUUUUUUUUUUUUUUUUUUUUUUUUUUUUUUUUUUUUUUUUUUUUUUUUUUUUUUUUUUUUUUUUUUUUUUUUUUUUUUUUUUUUUUUUUUUUUUUUUUUUUUUUUUUUUUUUUUUUUUUUUUUUUUUUUUUUUUUUUUUUUUUUUUUUUUUUUUUUUUUUUUUUUUUUUUUUUUUUUUUUUUUUUUUUUUUUUUUUUUUUUUUUUUUUUUUUUUUUUUUUUUUUUUUUUUUUUUUUUUUUUUUUUUUUUUUUUUUUUUUUUUUUUUUUUUUUUUUUUUUUUUUUUUUUUUUUUUUUUUUUUUUUUUUUUUUUUUUUUUUUUUUUUUUUUUUUUUUUUUUUUUUUUUUUUUUUUUUUUUUUUUUUUUUUUUUUUUUUUUUUUUUUUUUUUUUUUUUUUUUUUUUUUUUUUUUUUUUUUUUUUUUUUUUUUUUUUUUUUUUUUUUUUUUUUUUUUUUUUUUUUUUUUUUUUUUUUUUUUUUUUUUUUUUUUUUUUUUUUUUUUUUUUUUUUUUUUUUUUUUUUUUUUUUUUUUUUUUUUUUUUUUUUUUUUUUUUUUUUUUUUUUUUUUUUUUUUUUUUUUUUUUUUUUUUUUUUUUUUUUUUUUUUUUUUUUUUUUUUUUUUUUUUUUUUUUUUUUUUUUUUUUUUUUUUUUUUUUUUUUUUUUUUUUUUUUUUUUUUUUUUUUUUUUUUUUUUUUUUUUUUUUUUUUUUUUUUUUUUUUUUUUUUUUUUUUUUUUUUUUUUUUUUUUUUUUUUUUUUUUUUUUUUUUUUUUUUUUUUUUUUUUUUUUUUUUUUUUUUUUUUUUUUUUUUUUUUUUUUUUUUUUUUUUUUUUUUUUUUUUUUUUUUUUUUUUUUUUUUUUUUUUUUUUUUUUUUUUUUUUUUUUUUUUUUUUUUUUUUUUUUUUUUUUUUUUUUUUUUUUUUUUUUUUUUUUUUUUUUUUUUUUUUUUUUUUUUUUUUUUUUUUUUUUUUUUUUUUUUUUUUUUUUUUUUUUUUUUUUUUUUUUUUUUUUUUUUUUUUUUUUUUUUUUUUUUUUUUUUUUUUUUUUUUUUUUUUUUUUUUUUUUUUUUUUUUUUUUUUUUUUUUUUUUUUUUUUUUUUUUUUUUUUUUUUUUUUUUUUUUUUUUUUUUUUUUUUUUUUUUUUUUUUUUUUUUUUUUUUUUUUUUUUUUUUUUUUUUUUUUUUUUUUUUUUUUUUUUUUUUUUUUUUUUUUUUUUUUUUUUUUUUUUUUUUUUUUUUUUUUUUUUUUUUUUUUUUUUUUUUUUUUUUUUUUUUUUUUUUUUUUUUUUUUUUUUUUUUUUUUUUUUUUUUUUUUUUUUUUUUUUUUUUUUUUUUUUUUUUUUUUUUUUUUUUUUUUUUUUUUUUUUUUUUUUUUUUUUUUUUUUUUUUUUUUUUUUUUUUUUUUUUUUUUUUUUUUUUUUUUUUUUUUUUUUUUUUUUUUUUUUUUUUUUUUUUUUUUUUUUUUUUUUUUUUUUUUUUUUUUUUUUUUUUUUUUUUUUUUUUUUUUUUUUUUUUUUUUUUUUUUUUUUUUUUUUUUUUUUUUUUUUUUUUUUUUUUUUUUUUUUUUUUUUUUUUUUUUUUUUUUUUUUUUUUUUUUUUUUUUUUUUUUUUUUUUUUUUUUUUUUUUUUUUUUUUUUUUUUUUUUUUUUUUUUUUUUUUUUUUUUUUUUUUUUUUUUUUUUUUUUUUUUUUUUUUUUUUUUUUUUUUUUUUUUUUUUUUUUUUUUUUUUUUUUUUUUUUUUUUUUUUUUUUUUUUUUUUUUUUUUUUUUUUUUUUUUUUUUUUUUUUUUUUUUUUUUUUUUUUUUUUUUUUUUUUUUUUUUUUUUUUUUUUUUUUUUUUUUUUUUUUUUUUUUUUUUUUUUUUUUUUUUUUUUUUUUUUUUUUUUUUUUUUUUUUUUUUUUUUUUUUUUUUUUUUUUUUUUUUUUUUUUUUUUUUUUUUUUUUUUUUUUUUUUUUUUUUUUUUUUUUUUUUUUUUUUUUUUUUUUUUUUUUUUUUUUUUUUUUUUUUUUUUUUUUUUUUUUUUUUUUUUUUUUUUUUUUUUUUUUUUUUUUUUUUUUUUUUUUUUUUUUUUUUUUUUUUUUUUUUUUUUUUUUUUUUUUUUUUUUUUUUUUUUUUUUUUUUUUUUUUUUUUUUUUUUUUUUUUUUUUUUUUUUUUUUUUUUUUUUUUUUUUUUUUUUUUUUUUUUUUUUUUUUUUUUUUUUUUUUUUUUUUUUUUUUUUUUUUUUUUUUUUUUUUUUUUUUUUUUUUUUUUUUUUUUUUUUUUUUUUUUUUUUUUUUUUUUUUUUUUUUUUUUUUUUUUUUUUUUUUUUUUUUUUUUUUUUUUUUUUUUUUUUUUUUUUUUUUUUUUUUUUUUUUUUUUUUUUUUUUUUUUUUUUUUUUUUUUUUUUUUUUUUUUUUUUUUUUUUUUUUUUUUUUUUUUUUUUUUUUUUUUUUUUUUUUUUUUUUUUUUUUUUUUUUUUUUUUUUUUUUUUUUUUUUUUUUUUUUUUUUUUUUUUUUUUUUUUUUUUUUUUUUUUUUUUUUUUUUUUUUUUUUUUUUUUUUUUUUUUUUUUUUUUUUUUUUUUUUUUUUUUUUUUUUUUUUUUUUUUUUUUUUUUUUUUUUUUUUUUUUUUUUUUUUUUUUUUUUUUUUUUUUUUUUUUUUUUUUUUUUUUUUUUUUUUUUUUUUUUUUUUUUUUUUUUUUUUUUUUUUUUUUUUUUUUUUUUUUUUUUUUUUUUUUUUUUUUUUUUUUUUUUUUUUUUUUUUUUUUUUUUUUUUUUUUUUUUUUUUUUUUUUUUUUUUUUUUUUUUUUUUUUUUUUUUUUUUUUUUUUUUUUUUUUUUUUUUUUUUUUUUUUUUUUUUUUUUUUUUUUUUUUUUUUUUUUUUUUUUUUUUUUUUUUUUUUUUUUUUUUUUUUUUUUUUUUUUUUUUUUUUUUUUUUUUUUUUUUUUUUUUUUUUUUUUUUUUUUUUUUUUUUUUUUUUUUUUUUUUUUUUUUUUUUUUUUUUUUUUUUUUUUUUUUUUUUUUUUUUUUUUUUUUUUUUUUUUUUUUUUUUUUUUUUUUUUUUUUUUUUUUUUUUUUUUUUUUUUUUUUUUUUUUUUUUUUUUUUUUUUUUUUUUUUUUUUUUUUUUUUUUUUUUUUUUUUUUUUUUUUUUUUUUUUUUUUUUUUUUUUUUUUUUUUUUUUUUUUUUUUUUUUUUUUUUUUUUUUUUUUUUUUUUUUUUUUUUUUUUUUUUUUUUUUUUUUUUUUUUUUUUUUUUUUUUUUUUUUUUUUUUUUUUUUUUUUUUUUUUUUUUUUUUUUUUUUUUUUUUUUUUUUUUUUUUUUUUUUUUUUUUUUUUUUUUUUUUUUUUUUUUUUUUUUUUUUUUUUUUUUUUUCCAUGUUUUUUUUUUUUUUUUCAAACAAAUACCUCCAACAGGAUUAACACUAGUAGGUGUUUGGACAACAAGUCCAAAAACAUCAAAUUUGUCUUAAAAAGUCAAUUUCGCAUAGAUUAAUUCUUCCAAGUAAGACCAGUUAUAUCUUAGUCUACAUUUAUUGACGGAUUGUGGUUUAGUGAAUUAGUAGCUACUAUAAAUGCAAAAAUAAAGUUGAUGAUUGCUCUUUGAGAUUUUACAAUUUUUGUAUAUAAGCCAAAUUUGUAGACUUUUCUUCAUUUUGAGCCACAUCAAGAGCUUGGUCGGCAUCUAGGUAUUUUUCAUCUUUAGGAGAUACUGUCACUGUGGAGACACAUGCCUUAUCAAGGACCUUUUGCUCUAAAGUAGCACUUUCACUUAUAAUUUGAUCAUUCACAAUAACAAGAUCCAAACUCUUGUUUUUCUUUUUCAUGGAAUACUAUCUUUUAAAAGUGGUUUACCAUGCUUCAAGCGUGCUGUAGACAAUUCAUCAACUGCUUUUCUAUCAGAAUGUUGAAUAUGAACUAUUACCUGGUCAAGUAUAUUUGUAGCUGGUGCAUAUGACUUGGAUAGUUUGCAUGCAUCUAUAAAUGCAUCUGGGAAUUGAUUUACAAUUUGUUGUAAGUAAAUUAUCUUCCACACUCCAUUUUCACUUUGGGUGGUUUAAAAAUAUAGACGAGACAAGUUUCUUACUUGUCAUGAAAGCUCAUGCCCAUCAUCAUAUGACAGUUUUUUCCUUCGCAACAGAAAAUAUUUUAUCUUAUCAAAAUGAAAAUUUGUAAAACAUGGUAAAUAAAUCACUUUUAAUGGGUUUAAAAUAUCUUAUAAUAGACAGCGAGUCAAAAUCCAUAUAGGUUCUUAAACGUCAUUGAGGUCUCAUUUUAGUACACUAAGGAGGUGCAACAAGCACUUUUACAACAUAACUAAAGGUGCACAAGUAGUGCAUAUUAGGUUGAUACCCUAAAACUAAUUGUAAAACUUACGUAAUAUUGGCGAGAAUAGUAAUCCUAAAGCAUACCAAUACCACAACAUGCAAAAUAGCAUGUCCACUAUGUAGAAGUAGAUAAUUAAGUACGUAAUAACAAAGUUGUUACAAUUAUCUAAAGAUGUUUGAUGGAGGAUUCUGCUAAUCCAUUCUAAGUAUCAACAUGUGGUGCUCAUCAAUCCCAACUGAAAUGCGGUAAUUAUCAAAAACCUUAGAAAUGAAAUUCCCAGCAUUAGCUAGUUGUAUAUCAAUGAUUAGAUAAUCUGAAAAUCGCUCUUGUUACCUAAUAAUUUGUGCAAGUAAUCUAGCAAAAGCAACUUUAUGUAUAGAUAAUAAAAAAAUUUGGGACUAUUGCAUGGAUGCAUUAAUCAAGACUAUAAAAUAAGGAAAUAUAUCAUUAGGUAGGUUAAUAGGUCUAUAAGUAUCUCCCUAAACUUUUAUAACAAUGAUGAAGAUUCAAGAUCAAUCUUAAAAAUAGAUGGUCUAAUUAUUAAUACAUCUUAAGAAUAGCAGUGCAAGUAUUUUUACUAGAUAAAAGAAUCUCUAAAUUCUUUAAAGGUUUUUCAUGAGAAUUCUCAAUAAUUCUAUACAUCAUACUUGAUCUAAGAUGGCUGAGACGAUCUUGCCAAAGCAUAAAAGCUUUUGGAUCAUCAAGUUUCCAGUUUAUGACUAAGUAGCUCUCUACUUCUUUUAUUGUCAUAUAAUAUAAGCCAGAUGAGAUAAUUGGAAGCUUCUCCAAUGUAAGUUUCUGGCCCGAGACAUUAUGAAAAAUAUCUUUAAAGCUCAAAUGAUAUGAACAAGGCUCUCCUCGAGUCCACAAUUAGAUCCGCAGGACCUGAGAUGACAUUCAUAUUAGCUUUAAAUAAUUUUAAACUCAUGAAGUAUUUCUUAAUAUAAAGAAUAAUAUGUGCAUUUCUCUAUCAUAUAAUUGAGCUUCAAAGAUCUAGAUCCUUUCACAAAAGAAAACAUAUAUUAGACAGUAUUAUAAUAUAAUACAAAAAAAAUAUAAGCAUAUAAAAAAUAAUCCAUAAAAGUCAAUAGUUGAUCUUAAUCGAUAUGGCUAUCUCCAUCACCAAGUAAAUCAGUUGUAUUCUCAUCAUAGUGUUCGAAAAAGUCUGAGACAUCCUUAUGUGUGUUAUCAACUGAAAUAGCAUAAUUCAUCUUAAUAUUCUUUUCUAUUAUUUUCUUUCUGCAAAGAUGUUUGAUACAUAUCAACAAGAUGCAUAAAUGCACAGUAAAAUCACCAAUGAUGGCCUGUAGCUCCACACCUAUUAUAAGUGCUUUCUUGAACCUUACUUUAGGAAGAUUUUUCUUCAUCAUUCUUCCAAUUUUGAUUACUUUUAUUGUAAUCAUCACAGGGUUAAUAAUUGUAACCACGAUUACGACUAUAACCACACUCAACCACGACCAUGAUUAUAGUUAUAAUGUUUAUAGCAUCUUUGAUUCUCACUAUGACUGUUGAAACAACAUUUGCUUCAAAAGUGGUGUUUGCUUUCGGAAAUGGCUUUGUAACAGCCAAAUGAGCUUGAUAAUCUUCAUUAGCAAUUCAUUAUUCUUCUCAGCAAUAAAAAGGGCAUGAAAUUAGGUCAAAAUACUUCUUGUACUCACAAGCUCGAUAUUAUUACUGUAGAACCAUGUUUGAUGCAUGAAAUGUUGAGAAGGUCAUCUCUAAUAUAUCUUCAUCAGUAAUAUUUCCUUCACAUAGUUUCAAUUGUGAUGUGAUUCUGUAAAGUAUAGAGUUCUAAUUAUGAACUAACUUGAAAUCUUGCAGUUGAAGUUGAUUUCAUUCGCUUCGAGGAUUUGGAAGUAUAAUUGACUUUUAUUGGUCAUAUCUAUCAUGUAAUGUUCCAAAAGACAUGUGGGUCCUUUACAGUGAGAUAUGAUGGUGAAAAAAGAUUACAGUCUUGAUGCGUUCUUGAGCAAAUUCAUUUUUGCUAGGCUUAAUUUUGUUGCCGAGGCCCAUGGCAUCAGGGUGAAUAUCUAAAUCAAGGAUCUAUGUAAAACAUUUUCCAUCGCAUAUAUCAAAGGCUUCAAAUGCUAUCUUCAUUAGGAGUGGGAAAAAAAACUGAUUAAUCAAAAACCGAACCGAAUCGAACGGUUCGAUUUUUGUGCGGUUUUUUUACAUCUAAAAAACCGAAUGAGUAAUAUAAUAAAAAUAGUAAAACUAGUCGGUUCGGUUUUCGAUUUAAAAAAAAAAAAACGAACCGGAUAUCAAAUAAACCGAAUGUCAAAUAACAAUCCCUAAAAUCUGAAGUCUAAACUAAACAAGGCUGAACUCGUGACCUUCACCCGCAACACCUUCAGCCGUUGGAAUCUCGUCCCCGCUGUUCGUCGCCACUGCUCGUCAGUCGUCACCGCUGCUCGUUGCUGCUGUCACGGUGCUCCCCUGCUACCAUUAUUUGUCUGAAUAUAGUGGGCUCACCGCAAAGAUUCUUUUGUUUUUGUCAACAAAAUCUCUCAGUAGAACAAAAAAUCGAACGAAAAAGGUUCCAUUUUUCGUUUCGGUUUUAUGAAUUUGGUUUAAAGUUCAUUUCUUUUUCCUCGUUCCCAUGUUUUUGUUAAUGUGCUUGAGUUAUGUAAAUAUCGCUGCCGUUUUUGUCUGGUUUGUUAUGUUUUUGCAGAGAAUAAAAAUCAAUAACUUGAGCUGCUGCUGAUUGUUUCGUGUUUUGUUUCGUAAUUUGUUGAGGUUCGUUCACUUGAGACGUUAUAUUUAGUUAUACCCAUGACUACUAAUUUGUAUGCCAAAAUUGAUUUUUGAUUUCUGAUUCAUUCUUUUGUUUUUUCUUUUCCCCCAUUUGGGUGAGAUAUGGUUUGUUUCUUUGAUUGAAAGAUGAUUGAAUGAUUGGUUUUUUCAGUUUUUUCAGUUUCUUUUCCCAAAUCGCAAACUGGAUACUGUUGAGAUUGAUCAUGAUUUUUAUAUCUUAGAGCUGUGUUUGAAAAUGUUCUCUAUAGUGUGCGGUGAAUUGCUGGAUUCACUGAUAUUUUCCAGAGCACGUAAAGCAGUUUCAUAACUAAAUGCUGGUGCUAUGAAUUGCUGGUGUUGUCUUUACUACUGAUGAAAACUAAAGGUCUAAAGCAAGUUCAAACACGUCUCAUUCAUGACUUUUUAAGUUUGUAUAUUCAUAACUAAAUUAAUUAAUCAAAAACGCCAGUAAGUAUUAAUUUUCUGCAACAGGUUCAGACAAAAACAUUUUCCAGCUGGUUCUGCUAACUAACUCUAUAUGGAUCCUUAAUUAAACUAUAACCUAAAUUGAUUUUUUGGUUAAUUUUUAUUUUUUAGAGGCUUCCACCUAUGAUUUGACACAUGUCCCAACAAUCAUGAAAAUGGGGAUAAUAAUAAAAGCAUUAAAAGAUUAAAAACUUUUAACUAAGAAACAAAUCGUUUGUUUAAAUAAAUUUUUAUCUUUUAUGUAUGGGUCUUUAUUUGAACAUGUUAUUUGUUCUUGAACAUAUUUUGAGACAUAUUUUGAUUUUUUAUUUGUUAAUUUUUUAUGUUUGUGGUAGAUUUAUUAAUUUAAGAUUUUAAAUUUAAAAAGCCCAAAAUAAGUCCAAUAGACCCAUAAUCGAAAUAAUCGAAUCAAAUCGAAUCGAAUUAUUUCGAUUAAUCGAAUAUUUGAUUAUUUCGGUAAUUUGAUUAAUCGCGAUUAUGAUUUUAAAAUAAUCAUAAUCAAACGAUUAUGAAAAAUUUAGUAAAAAACCGAACCGAACCGAACCGCGCCCACCCCUAAUCUUCAUUAAGUUUGACAUCUUUAAGGGCUUCAACAUCUGUCAAAUUUAUGGCUUUAGAUGUAAAGGCUUCAAUUUUGAUAUUGUAAGGCUUUCAAUUUGAAUUUCAUACACUUCGGCCUUGAUUUACACUUCAAUCUUGAUUCUUCGGCUUCGCUUGUAAUGUUAGUAAUAAAAUAAAAUAACUAGCCUUAUUUUCUAAUGUGAAAUAUUCAAAUUAAUGGUGACCACAUAGCAUACUUAUAAGCAUAGUUUUAUUAAAUAAACAAGUAAAAUGAAGAGUUAGGGAUAAGAUUCUUCUUAUACCAAAGCAAUAGUCAUGCUGAUAACAUGUUAUAAUUUUUAACAAGAAAUAAUUGUAGUUUAAGUAAAUAAUAUAAAGCAUAAGAGAGCUAGCUAGAUACGUAAAGUUAGGCAGAAAAUUGAAUUGAUUUGGAAUUGUAUAUCAUAUAGACGGCUUUGCACCCUUGUUUAUAAAACAUGCUGUGCAACUAAAUUUAGCGAUAUCUUAAGUAUAUUACUUAGUUGUUUACCUUGGCUUGCAGUUAAUUUGACUUAGCAUAGCUAAGUUACCGAGUCAAGCUUAGUCAAUUAACUACAGCCAUGUGUGUAGCCAAAGAAAUCCUUGCUCACUUGAUUUACAUCCACAUCCGAAUUAAUUGGCUUUAUUUGCAUAUGUGGCUAUAUUGACUUACUUAUUUAGCCAAUUGUAACUAGCGGUGCAUACACUAACGAAAUCUCACGAUGGAGAGCCACGAACUUCCAUAGUAGUUCUACUAUUUUCAAUCAAAACAAUUUUGUCAAUGAUAUUCAUUUGUUUUCAUCAUCCUUAAUUACGCUGUACGUUGAAUCAUACUCAAAUAGUAGCUCAUGAGUUAAGGUUGCCUAAGGUUCUAUUUUUAACUAAUUAUUACAUAAAAAAAUGGAGUGAGUUAUAUUUAUACAUGAGUUAGCUUUCAUUUCAUAUAAAAUUCCGUAAGUAUAACUCAGAUUCAAAACUAGUUCAUGAGUUGAGAUGAAAUUCCCUCAAGUUUAAUUAUAUUAUUAACUCAAGAUUUAUUCUCAUCCAGUAUGAAACAAUCUCCUUACCGGGAUUUCGAACAUAAAAUCUUGAAUCCGAUAUUAAAUCAACGAAACCAUUUGACCCAAGCAUAGAGAUAAAAGGUAAAAAAUUAAAGCUAUUAAAAAAAAAGAAAAAGAAAACUUGUAAUUCAAAUGGGAAAUUAUUUGUAGACAAUAUUUUAUUUACUAAACAUUUUUCGCUUCACAUAUAUUAAUUUGGUUCAUGCACUUUUGACAGAAUCCUUUCAUGAAAAGGAAUUUUGGAUCUUAGUGUGAACCCAAAAUCAUAAACAGCGAAACCCACUAUGAAAAUUUCCCUUUCACAACUUUAUUUCAAUUAAUAAAUCGAAACCAAAAAUUAAUGGUUCAGUAUAAAUCCCUUUCACAAGUUUACUUCAAUUAAUAAUUCGAAACCAAAAAUUAAUGGUUUAAUAUAAAGGUCAAUAAGUUUUCUCAAGUUUGAAACCAAAUUCAUGCAUUGCAAAAAAUAUGGAGCUUGGGCUGUAAAGUGAAAAAGGCGUCAAGAAUUUCAACCAAAGUUUUAAAAAAGGAAAAGAUGCACAUGCCACUUUGAGUAACAAUGAGUAUUCAAGAAUGAAAUGUAAACUUUGGGAUGGCUCACGGGACACCUUCCCAUAAAAAAAAACCUUAAAUUCCCACAUUUGGAAAUAGAAAUUGUAAAGGAGAAGCUCCACAGAAUCUGAAAAAAUUAUAAAAAUAAGUACAAAAGUUCCAAUUUUUUGUUGUCCUUUUCAUGGGAAAUGAAAUGAGCCAAUUACAUUCGGUGCGCAUAUUUUCAUCUUGACACUUGGCUUUUUUUUUUUCCUGGUGGAUCUUGGCAGACAAAAACACAAUGGAAAAUGUUAUUGGUUAUUAUGGCAGUAAGAAUGAGGAAGAAAAAAAUCAUUAAAGGCUGCGGUCAAUUGAGAAGAUUGAAAAGAGAUUUGCAGAAUUUGCAACAAUUGUGAGUGGAAGACAAAUUUGAGAACCCAAUCACACAAUUGGUUGACUUAUGAAAAGGUGAAUUUCAUUUUGAAAUGUUCUCUUAAUGGAGAGGGUGAGAUGAAUCCAGCCAUAUUCUUUGGUAAAGCUUCGCAUCUAUAGUUCUAUGUACUGACAACUUUUUGAUUUAAGUCCUGUUAAAUUGCUUGCUGAGAAGUGCUUUUGCUGGCUGCCCAUUUUGUCGAAAAUAUGGAGUUCUUCGUAAUCAUUAUGUUUUAUGGAUAGUUGCUAACCAUGAGAGUCGGCAAAACUUAACAAAUCCCAUUUCCCGUAUGUUGAUGCUUAGUGGUAAAGAACAUAAGUUGGUUGCAUUUUGAUGUUUUACAUAGAAAUACUGACGAUUUAUUGAGUUAAUAAGAGUGCAUGCAAUUCUUUUUAUAGUUUAAAAACAUGUCCGGUUCUUGAAAAUUUCUACUCACAUAAAUAUUUUUAAGCGUGUAGGUUAAAGAGUUCGUUGAAUCAGAUUUUUAUUUAUUUAUUAUUAUUAUUUUUGGUUGUCAUCCUUAGCCACGUAUAAGAAUUCUUAUACUUAUUAUUUUAUAUAGUAUAAGAAUUUAGAAAAAAAAAAAAGUGUAUACACAAAAAUAUACUCAGAAAUAAAUAAUGCAAUAAAUUGGGGAAAUGGGGUAUGCCAAAUUUAUUCUAAGGUGUCAGAAAUUCCAUCUGAGUUUGGGAACUGAAAUAAAAAAAUUUCUGGCGAGUGUUGGACAAAAAUUGAUGAAGACAGAGCAGGAAAAACAGCUGGAGUGCUUUUGUCAUUUUCUAGACUUGUAAUUAACUUGUAUAUUGUAAUGGGAAUGCUUUGAUGAAAUGGGCCCCUUGCGCACCCCCUUGGGUGGCCCAAACUUGAAAGCACUUUUUGGAUUCUUUUGGAUGAAAUGAUGUAAUUGAAAGAAUUGAGUUGGCUUCUAAGUAGUUGAUGACAUUGACAAAAAGAGAGUGCUAUAUUAUAUAUAUGGACUUGACUAGCUUACAGAAUCUGUAAGCUACAGACUGCAGCAUCAGGCGUUGGAUGUGGUUCAAUGUGGAGUGAGAUACUAAACAAUAGACAAUCGGAUGGUGGGAUGACGGGAGCUUUUUGUUACAGAUUUUGUACCAUAAACACGUCCUUAUUAGCUUAUUUCGUUUACCGAUGUCAUCAUUACGUACUUUAUCCACUGAUGUAACAAUUGUGUCAUUUUGUCUGCAACUUGCCUUCAGCAUCUGUUUUUACUAUGCACAUUAGGACUUGACUAGCUUACAGAAUCUGUAAGCUACAGACUGCAGCAUCAGCCGUUGGAUGUGGUUGGAUGUGGAGUGAGAAACUAAACAAUAGAAAAUCGGAUGGUGGGAUGACGGGAGAUGUUUGUUACAGAAUCUGUACCAUAGACAGGUCCUGUAUAUACAUAUACAUAUAGAACUAGCUAGCUAGUAUAUGAAAACUUGUGCGUCAGCUCCCGAAAAAUUAAGCCAAGAGUAAGAAAUUUACUUAAUUUGACGAGCAUCAGUCAAAAUUCUAACGACAAAAAUAACGUGUGUAUAUAUUAGUGAGCAUAUAAGUAUAUAUAUAGGCUGUAUCAUAAUAAAAUUAAAUUGGAUUAUUCUCUGUAAAUUUGUACUGUAUUCUAUAUAUUUUUCAUGAUUUGUGCAAACAAAAGGAAUAUCAAAGUAGCUUGUUUUAUCAUCAACAGUGGCGAAGGAGAUUAGGUCCACAUAUUCUCAUGCCAUAUGUUUUAUUUCAAUUUGAAAAUCGAGCGGAUACGAGAGUAUCUUAUUUCUAGUAGAAAUAGAUUGGAGAGAGACAUAGAAAUUGGUACAAUUAUUGGUAUGAUGAUACAGUCAGAGGAUAAUAUUUAUAAUAAGCAAUAAUUUUAACCUAGACUUUUGUAAAAGAUGCCGAACGACGUCCCGCUGGCAGGCUUUGAAUUGUUUCUUCGGACCACACAGUGUGUUUAUUAUCUAUUGUUUAAUGGAGGUCAAAUUUUGCCUGACACCACCCUUAAUUUCUUAGUUUCACACGAAUCAUCGAGUAAAACUUGAAGAUUUCACUCUGCUUGGUGUAUUCUUUUUUCAAGGAAUCAAUGAUUCAUUGCAGAAAGCGCUUGGAUGUGGAUGCUGCUCAUCAAGAUUCAAGACUGUGUAAACAGCGUAACUAUGACUCCAUUUAUCCCUUUGGCAAUUGGUAUUUUAAUCAUUGUGAUUUUUAAAUCCACCCUUGCUGUAAAAUAUAGUUAUCUACUGUCCACACAAAAUAAUAAAAAUUAAUUAGAUGUCAACUAAGAUAGAAUUUCAUUGUCAAUUUGAUAGCUACAUCUAAUUUUUACAGGUCUUUGAUAAAUUGUUGCUAUUAUUUUGAAUUUGUAAUCUCUUACUUCCAUUAUAAGCGUUUUUUUUUUUUGAACUGAUUAAGCAUGAGGUUACUGUAUUACACAGAGAUAUUUACAAAUGACAACAUAUCAUUGCAUUGAUAAUAUUUACAAUCAGAUAUAUAUCUGGGACUUACAUUAUUACAUUUUUAUUCUUUGAAGUAUACGCCCAGCCAAAUACCCCUCUCGGUGAGGGAUGUCUCUAUUCCACUCGCAUUUCGCAAGAGAAAAAGACGUUAUAAGUAAUCUCCACACAAUUAUAAUUAAUUGAGGGAGUUUGAGUCUGUAGGGACUCGAACCAUUGCCCUCAUAGUCAUGCUUGACUUUAAGGACAAUGAUUCACCACUGGGCUACAAGCCCAAGUGGCUCCAUUAUAAGAGUUAAGCUACCUAAUCGAUGGUUUACAUAUAAUUUUUUAUGAAAUUUAUGAUCACAAGAAAAAAAAAGAUAAAAAAAUUGGUAUUUCUUGAGAAUGAGCAAGCCAUUCAUCAACAUCCAGCUUCCACCAUCACUACCACCACUAACCUUUAUCGGCAUCAUUUUCGUAUGUAAAUUUUUAUCAGGAGAUUUUAUUUUGUUAUCAUCGCUAAUUAUUAUAAUUCUAACUUUUUUUUAUCAUCAUACGUAUGUCAUCAAAGACCUUUAUCUGGAAAAUGGUUGCUGAUUUGCUAUACAUCACCAACGCUGUGUAUUAAACUUGUUAAAAGAUAAGUUGUGAUAAUAUAUGACAAGUGCGAAUUGAAGUCAUAUUGUACGAUGCCAUUCAACCUGCCCUAUAUCUUCUUUUGCUGUUAAAGCUUUAUUGGAAUAAUCAUUCAGGUGAAUGAAAAUGAUUGUUUUGUUGAAGAUUUUUUGAGUUACAGUCACACUACAACUAUUUCACGCAUGAAUAGGAGCAAACCUGGGGCUUUGAUUACAUCAUUAGCCUCUAUGAUUGGAAAACAGUGCCCCACAUGCGGUUAUUGACACAAUACUUAAUUAAAUCUCAGUCGCACAUUUAAAGAAACCAAACUCAAAAGCUUAAAUUGACAGAUAAAGGCCAACAAAUAUAAUUGCGGACUAUCAGUCUUAAAACUCUUAACAAUUCAUCACGAUAUGUGCAGAUUUCCACCAAUAGAUUUAAGCUCAUUAUGUGAUGUAAUGAUAGUUAACAACAUCUCGCUAAUUAAGCAAACCAAAGAUGAAAAUGGUUCUAAGAGAAACUUUUAAUGCAAAAAUGUCUAUACAAUAAUAUGCACCAUUUGAUGUAUCAAUGCGUACGUCUGUAAUUUUAUUGUUUUUUAAGGUUCUUGAAUGUGGAUAUCGUAUUGCACCUUUUUUUUUUUUUUUUAAUGUGUACUCUUAAAACGCACAUUAAUUAUUAUUUGUAUAGCUACAUCGUGCGGAGAGUAGGAGGAUAAUAUUUUACUUAAGCUUAAUUUGAUAGCUCCUCUAAUCUAAAUUAAUGAUUAAAAAGAAAAAUCUUUAAAAUAAGUAGUCUUAUCCGAAAAAUCGUGAGUGUGUGUGUAGACGUGAGAGUGAAAACAUUCACGAGAUGCAAAAAUAAUUGUCCUUCACGUCCAGCUAGCCCUUCUGUUUUAGCCAUUGACCCUAAACUGUAGGUUGUCUUCAUUGCAAGCAACUAAGCAAUGGUGUGAGAGAUAUGUCGCUCCGUCAAUAAUUUCGUCUCUUUCACAACUUAGUGGGUUACCUACAAGCUUAUAGGGCUCAAUAGCUGAGGCCAGGUAUAUAAAUUAUGAGGCUUCCUGAGAUUCUUCGUCCUUUAGCUUUGGUUACGGCGCAGAACUGAGUUAUCUGCUGGACGAGAGAGUGAUCGCCACAAAAAUUAAUCUUUUAUAAUAUUUUUAUAAAAAAAAAAUAAAACAAAAGAAAAAGAAAAGAAAGUAAGAAAGUGGAUUGCAAAUCCAACCAAAGAAAAAGGAACACAUGCAACACGCCUCAAAAUUAGGGCCACAAUCCAAACAAUCUGACGUGCGCCUGCAAGUGCUUGUGUGGGUGCUAGCUGCUAACCCCACUUUCUAUUUUUCUUUUCGAGAAAUGAGAUUAUGCGGAACGCGUUGGAGCAAGCAAGCUGCAAGCAUUCAAAAGCAAAUAAGCAGUAAUACUAAUUCACGUAUUAUACAUGUUGAUGAGAAUGGACCAAAACUGUUCCAACAGUGACAAGCAUGAUCCCCAAUUUUAACCAAGGUUAAAGUAAUAAUUUUUUAUUGCCAUAAAACUAGUUGUUAAAGAUCAGUAUACAACCAUUUGACUGAAAAAAUCGAACACCACCUCUUUCAUGGCUUUCAAAUAUUCGCCCGUAAGAAAACAAUUGGCUUUAUUUUCUUGGGUGUUUUGCUGUGAAAAGAUGAAAGAAGAUUCAAUGGAGAAAGAAGUCGUGAUAUGUACCAUCAAUCACAAUUCACAAACCAUGUGCAAUUUGUCUUGUUCAAUCAGGUUACUGCUGUGGAGAUAAAUAUGAAGUGUCAUCUCCUUCGUGCAUACGCAUUUUAAACCCAACUUUAUUUUCUGUGGGACAUAUAUACUUCCUUCCUUAACUCUCUAACAAAAUAUUCUAUAACUAAGGCAGUAAAAUUCUUAAUUAUAAAUUUAUAAAUCUUGUAAACUCUCCAUAACCCUCCACAGGUGAUGAAUAAUAAUAUAGGUACGUUUAACAAUGGUUUGAUAUCACACAUCUCCACUAUUCAUUUGUCCAAUUUUGGAGGGUUAUCAAACAAUUGUCAGAAUGAUGAGAAUAAGCCCAAUUGACUUGGACGACUUGGGUUUUGGCCUCUUAGGAAACCCCAUUCAAAGGCCUUUUCUUUAAGGUAAAUAUGGGCCGCCAUGUAAAACCCAAACUUUUGAAUUGGACUCAUUAGAUAGCCCGAGUUAGUUGACUACAAAUAAGAGUGCCCAAAUAGUUUAUUGAAGCACCCCUACCCAUUUAGUGGUAACACCAAUUUAACCUCACUUAAAAUCAUUCUUAUAACCCCAAUUUUUCUCUCUUAAAAGUCAAAGCAGAAGUUUUAUUUUCUUUAAAAAAAAUUCUUAAAAAUUUUCAUCGAAUAUUUUUAUUUAAUUGAUCACAAAAAUUUAAGUUCUGAAUAGGAAGAAGAUAAAAAUUAAUUUUGGCUUUUAUCACUCCUACAUUUAAAAAUAAUGUAUAUAUACUAUUAUACAAAUUUAUUGUUCAUAUUUGCUUAUUCUUGGUUUAAAAAAUAGCAAUAAUAAAAAGGUAUCUUGUUCGGGAUAUUAAAAUUUUUCUAAAAUUAACAAAUAAUGCAAAAAACAUGUUUAUUGUACGAGUUUUUAGUUAAAGAAUAUAUCAUUGCAUUUUACAUGUGAGUUUAAUUAAUAUUUUAUAUAAUUGAAGGGGCAAGCAUGGGCUGGUUUGGUUUAAAACCCAAACCAAAUCAUAAAAGUUUGGGCCCAAUUCAAACCAAUCCAAAUCAAUUAAUUUUGAGUUUAGUUUGAAUUUUAUGAUCAUUUUAUAUUUCGAUAAAUUUUGUUAUGUCAAAAUUACAAUAAUUAAAUUAGUGUUAAAAUAUAAAAAAUAUAGUGGAUAAAAAAUUAUAAAUAUAAAUUUUGCAAUAACUUCAUCCUUAAACCAAAUAAUACUAGAAAAUUAAAAUAAAAUUUAAUCACAAAAGUCAUUAUUUCUCAAUAAAUAAGAGCACAAACUCUAAUAAUAAAAUUCCACAAGAAUGACAUCAACAAGUAAAUUGAAAGAAAAAAAAUAAAAAAUUAGUAGUAUUAAUCGUAUUGCAACACAAAUUCUAACAAUUUUCAUACAAAUUAAAGUAAGAUAAGACAACCCAAUUCAAGUAUCAAAGCAAUUCAUCAUAAUCAUUCUCAUCUGGAGUACUUUAAUCAAGAGCUUUCAUGAUCAACCGAGUUGCUCGAUCACCAACAAACAAAUAACAAAAAAAAAAAUUAUAAUGUUGAAUAAUUAUAAAGGUGAGUAAAUUUGGACAGGAACAUACCAAAAUCAUGAGCAUAACAUCGAUACAAAACAGUCGCCUUCGUGUUACACUUAAAUCAAAUUAUAUAUUAAAUAAAAAUAAAGUAAAAAAAUCUAGUGAUAAAUAAAUAUAUAAAUUUUUUUACUUGUUAUGAUAAACAAUUACCUGACAUCAUGGCUUUAAAAUUUUUUUUCAUAUAAUUAAAACACAAACAAUAUCAAAUUCAAAACAAACAGUCAGAUAAAUUAAAAUUUUCCUUUCUUUUUUUGGCAUUUAAGAGGUUCAGAGUAUGAAACUGCUUCAUCAAUCAGGAAUUUUCUGAAGCAGAACUGGCAAAUAAGCUGUAUAUUUUCCUCCGUGACUAGCCUAGGUUCCGGAGAGUCUAAUGCUGUCGAAAACCAACUAGAGGAGAAUUAAAGCAGAACGGGCAUACAAGCAGGAAUGAAUUCAUUUUCAUUUGUUUUGUUUAAUUUAUUUUCGCUUUUGAGUUUUGGGAAGGUAAACCAUAUCCAAAAGAUAAUGAAGUAGUUUCUUACAUAAAACACAAAUCUAACCCAUUUUUAUUAUUUACCCAACCCAAAACAAAUUUAUUUUGGUGUCGCAGUCUACAGUCUACUUAGAAAGUAAUUUUAAGUCUAAAAUUAGUUGUAAAUAUCUAGUUUUAAGACGAUUUUGCAGGAGUGUAAAUCCCCCCCCCCCCCCCCCCUUUUUUUUUUUUUUUUUUUUUUUUAAACCCCCCCCCCCCCCUUUUUUUUUUCUUUUUUUAAGAUAAUCAUGUUCUUUUCUUAAUACGAAUAAUAUAAAAAAUUCUAACAUCUAUAUUCUAAUCUACAUUCCCGGACAUUCAUCUAUACAACAGUAAUGUUUUUUUUUUUUUUUUUUCUGACUAAAUAGAAUUCCUGACGUUAGGAUAUCAAAGUGGGGUUAACGAAAAAGAAAACAGAACGAACUUCGUGGAAAUUAAUGACAACGACUAGCUACCUCUGCAAUCGCCAAUCAGGUUUAGUGGCACCAAGAUUCAACCCCCAAUUGAGCAUACAAGGCAGAAUAUUGGCUUGUGUUCUUGAUGGAUUUGGAAAUGUGUUCCGGGUCCGGACCCGGUAACAACAGUCACAGAAAGCACUAGAAUGUGUCACGGCCAGGACCAGUUCCAGAACCAUCAGAAGAGAAAAUUGGACCACAUCACAAGCCGAAAAGGUAACCAUUAAACCAAACCAAAAGUCGGGAGAUCAUUACAUUCAUUUAUGCAAAACACGAUCAUACCGGGAGUUGACAUGUACAUGAUACUUCUUAUCAGACAAGGAAGUUGAAACUAGUUUGUACUUUACUAGUAUUAUAUCAUACAUAUUACUACUGAGCAGUAGCUUUCUUGGCUUUCUUAGCAGCAGAGGACUUGAUGGAUUUGGGCUGCUUUGGUUUGGCAGCAGCCGAUUUCUUUGCCUUCUUAGGCGGAGGAGGAGCGGCGGCGGCAGACUCUGCUUUGAUUUUAGCUGCAGCAGUUACGGACCUUGUUUUCCUUGGGGCCUUGGCCUUGGUCUUGAUCUCUUUUUUGGUUUUGCCAGCUGCCGCUUCAGAGAGCUUGUAAGAGGCCCUGAUCUUGAUGAGAUUUCCUUUCGCAGCGAAGUGCUUCAGCUGCACUGCCAAUAUUUUCCUGAAAUUCGCUGGGAGCUCAUCUUUGUGCUUCUCUUCCAUGUACUUGGCUAUUGCGUAUGGGCUUGAACCGCUCUUAUCUUGCAGCGCCAUCAGUGCCUCCGUUAUCAUCUGCACAAUUAAUUACAAUAAUAUCAAAAACUUCCUUCAAUGAACGUGACUUAUAAUUUAAUUUGAUUAAAUUGACAAACCUGAAAAUAAGGAGGAUGAGAGGGGGUUUUGGACUGCUUUGGCUUCUUCUCUUUAGGAGCCUUGGGCUUCUUGUCCUUAGCAGCCUUGGCCUUCUUCUCAGUGACGACCUUUUCCGGCUCCUCCGCAGCCGGCUGCUGCUCCGUCACAGCUUCACCUUCU
rnacentral:lncRNA from 1 species